rnacentral:lncRNA from 1 species
CAUGGAACAGGUAAGAAAAACAUCACGAGUGACUGACCAAGUCAUAAAACAAUGGAGCGAAUUGAGUUUAUAUAGAAGUGUGCAAUUAAAUGCACACAGGGAUACACAAUGACUCUAAAUGUGAGUAGACGAUAAAGCAUUAAAGAGAGUGUGAUAGUUAUUUUAAAUUACUGAGUGUACAGGGGAUUUACUUAGCAUUGCAAAAAGAAAUAGAGGUGCAGCACCCAGAAAACUUGGAUUAAUCCGAGUAAAUGAUCCCCUUUGGACUAGUGCCUAGCUUAUCACUUGAGAAAAAUAAGAGAAUAUGCUACAAACAAUUUACUAGUUAGCACUGAUAACAAGAAAAACAAUUCACUAGUUAGUACUUCUUUUUUAAUGACCAGGAAAUCUGCUAUUUUCAUCUUCGGAACUCAGUUGCUAUUUGAUUCUACCCUCCACCCUUCUCCACUAAAGCACCUGACUUGGUUUACCAGUCAUGAUUUGAACUAGUGAUGUACGCCUACCAUACAUCCACGCUGUAGUCUGUACUGCCUUCAUCACUGAACCAAAGCCCUGGAGCUAGUACUUGUUUCUUUGUAAUCUUGAUAUACAUAGUCACAAGAGUACCAAAAAAUGAUACAAAACUCAUGCUUAAUCAUUCUCAUGCGUGCAACACCUCCCUUUUUUUCUUUCCUUGGUGGAGAAACUUGCCGGGUAUUCUCUCAAAACUGGAGCCUGCAAAAUUUUCUUUACUUACUCAACUCUGCAUACAUUUCAUAGUAAUACACACAUACACUGACAAACUCAAGGAUUUCCAGACAACGCUUCAAGCUAGCCCAAGAUCUAAAAUGUCACAGACAUCAUAGAAUAAACUGUUUAUACCAAUCAUGACUAGAGUCAACCUACCAACCAAAACCAGAUUGUUUCUAUGGAUUAUUUCACAAAAAUAAGUAUUAGGUUUGGUUUUUGGACUAUAGGCUAUGGAAUAUUUCACAAAAAGAUCCGUUUUUUUUUAAUACAUCAACUCUGUUCACUGGAAUUAGUAUCUAGCUAUUGUUCAUUAAUGUAAUCUUUCUUAACCAAUUAUCAAAUGAUCAUUAAUUUAUAUAAUCUGGAUUACUUUACAUAAUCAAAACUUAACAGGUCUAAGAUUAAGUAAAAGGUGUCCAACAAAGUGGCAAGAUGAGCAAAUUGAUCUCUUUCAGAUGAAUAGCAAUUGAUAGAUCAAAGUUCACAAGAGCAGAAACCAAAUAGGAGAGAAUAUCAUGAAACUGAACGUAAAAACUUUUAAUAAGGAAAGUGUUAAGGGCUUUUUUUUUUUUUUUUUGAAAUGGUAAAUGUGUAUUCGUCACCAAAAAAUCUUUUUUUUGACCAAAAGAUUUUUUUAUAGGUGAGCUUGACAAACAUAUUUAUUUCCAAUUUCUCCAGUCAGACUUAAUAAUUUGGUCAUAUAUCCAGAGUUCCAACCACUUAACGCCAUUCAGAUUGUAGAAGCUUUUGUUGGGAACUGUUUUAUCAUAAUAUGUGACUGAAACAGUUGGACAAUUUUCUGCAUAGGAGCUCCACGGAUUCCCGAAUACAGUCAUGUACCAAAGAAAAGACCAGAUCUGCUCAACACACAUAGAAUGAAAAAUAGAAGAUCUGGAACAUAAGAAAGCUGACUCGAAAUCUACAAAUCUUUUAUUUAUCCAUGUCAUUGCAUGGCAUGAACUGUAGAUAGUUUCUUACUUUAGCUUUAGGCAAGUCAUAAAGAAAAUAUGGAGAAGUCUAAUUGUCCUCAAUAUAUAGAACAUCUCUUCAGGACGUCUCAGCAAACUUAUCUCCACAUCCCAUAGGACAGAAUUGUGGAAAGCGAUAAUGAAUUGAAGACAAGCAGGUUAAAGAGGGUUGAAUUGGGCAUAGAACUGGGCUAAGUUGAAGAUUGUUUUAAAAUGGGUUAAUGAUUAAACGGAUUAAAAUUUAGCCCCUUUUUAAAAGAACUGGGGGUAGGGAAAGGAGAAAUGGAGGUGGGGGAUUACAAGAAGGGGGAAUCAAACCAUCACCAACAGAGUCAACCCAUAAAAUUCUGGGAGGGUAAAAAAUAUUUGGGCCACAUUUGACACCCCUAAAUAUGAGCUUAACUAGAACAACAUGAUCAGUAAGGGUUUAUUUUACCGACUCCAAAUUGCUUCGGAUUUGAGACGUAGCGUAGUUUGUUGUUGUUCUUGUUGAGUAAUGAUGGUGCUUUUCAAAAUGAUUUUACUUCUUACCCCAAGAAUGAUCCUUGAAGCAUCAGUACACAAGUUGAUGCGUGACUAUAAACAGAAGGAGAUGAAGAGUAAUCUCGUGUCUGGCCUUUAAUCUAUUAGCAAAAACAUCACAACUAUUGAACUUCAUGAAACUAGAUUCCCACCUGGUUUACAAUCUACCGAAUAGAGACUUUAUAUUUCUUUAAUUUCUAUAAUGUUGAAAUGACACAAACAUCAGAAAUUUCUCUUUUGGCUUUAUGCAAUAGAAAUAUUAGCUGGCAGAUAGCUUUCUAAACUCACUGACACUAGUGGAAGUAUAAGCAUUAGCUUGCUAUAGGCAGGAAACUAUUCCUACUAUGGAUCUUAUAAGUCACUAUGUAAUUUUUGCAACUCCAAUUUUAUUAACUUAAACAAGCAGCAAUAACAGCAAUACCGAAAGGAAGUACCUUGCAUUGAAGGUGAACUUUUGCCAAUGAUUAAGCAAUCCUUUGUGUAAACGAUUCCCCUAUUAAAAGAGAAAAACAUACACCAUAUUGUUACCAGAAAUUUUGAUUCUAAGAACUACAAACUGGAAAAAAUUGCAGAUAAUAUAAUCAGCUGUAUCAACACAACACAUUGUGGACAGCUGAAAAACAGCCUAAAUAUUAACAUGUUCCCGACAGUCAAAAAACAAUAACAUGGUGUCGCAGAGAAAUUCUCCUUCUAUUUUAAAAUGCAGGUUUAGUAGUUUAAGUCGCUUGGAGCUUCCAUUUGUUAGGAUUUUUGAAAGUUACGGGCUAUGGCAUGUUUAAGGCCAUCUUAAUAUAUUCAUGUAAAUAAAACCAAUAACAAUAGCAACAACUAUACCUCAGUCCCAACUCCCAAAUAAGUUGGGGUCAUUUAUAUGAACUUUCACUGACCAUGUUAUUCCAUUUAAACCCAUCUCAUGCCAACAUUAUGCAAAUACAAAUAAGAAGUAAUAGAAGUUCUCUAUAUUUCCUAAACGUAUAAAUAUCUUAAAAGCUAAGCCAUUCCUAGAAAGCAUAGGACCUAGUGAAAGUGUCAACAUGUCUAUAACAUGUUGUCAACCAAUAGGUAUCGCCUAUAUAGAUCCUUUUCUUCCCACCCAUCUUUCACAAAGUUUGCAUUGAUCCCCAGAAAUUGUAUGUCCUCAAAGACAACUUCCUUCCAGCUGAUUUUAGGUCUACCUGCCCUCUUUUAACACCUACACUCACACCGUGGUGACGUGGUCCAUGUAAAUAAGACUAAAAAAGAAAUAAAAAAAUUAAAGCAUUAACCAGUAGGAUCAAGGAACACCUAGCAUAACUUGUAGAAUAAGAUGGAGCAAUAUCAAGCAAAUAACUUAACACACUGAACAUUGUCAGCAUUUAGGGGUCAGACUAGGAUAUAAGAGUAUGCAGAAAUAAGAACAGGAAUAUACCAAUUCAGUCAAAAAGGCUUGUUUGUUAAGCCCUUCCAGCGCUGUGAAUGCCGAUUCAAGCACCCUUGAAAGGUAUGCAACAACUCUGAUAAAGGGAGAAGCCAUAAGAAUACAGGAAAUAUCCUUCAGAAAAGAAAAAAAAACUUAAGAUGUAUUACGAGGGAAAGAGACAAGAAAAUAUAUGAAAGGCCAAACACUAUGCAUAGGAGAUUUCGGACUCCAAUGCAUUCUUGACAUAUUUAGAAUGGCGUGUGUUGAUAUUUUGAAAGCCAGUUAAAUAAUAGGCAGCUUAAUAUCCUUCCAGAGAUCAUCUUAUUAUAGUUUCUCUACUCUACAUGGCAUAAGUAAAGCUUAAAUUAGUGCAGACUUUGAACAAGCUUGCGUUGGCCGAUGGUCAGGGACAAUGCUGUCAUCAGGUGAUCGAUAAUCUGCGACCUUUUGUUCAGUUGACAGUACGCGUUCCACCUGAGAACAGUCAAAGAAAGUGUAACCUAAUAUCAAACGUAAACUUUGAUCUGAAAGGAAACAAAAUAGAAUCUGAGAAAUUCAAAACGACUGAUAAAAGGUGCCAUUGUGAUUGUAAUAAUGAGGCCAAGUCCCACAUAAGACUACCACAACCGUCAAACACAUUAAAUGUUACAAAUCAGACCUCUGCCAUAACAGUUUCAAUGCACUGCUGAAGCCCCUUAUAAGCAGCACCCUCUGCACUUGACAUAGCUGUAGCCAUUUCUUCACAGGAAGCAGCAUGCGCACCAUCCACAGGUAGUAAAAGUCGAGAUAUAGAGUUCGCAAAAUACUGAAGAAAAGGAGUUCAAUGAGAACCCAAAAAGAGACGACAUGAGAUUGUGUUUAUUUUUCUUUAAAACUGGUAAAUUUGUACAUGAGAUUGUGUUAUAUUUUAAUCACAAAGAUUUUCACUAGUUCACUAGCAUCAAACCAACAUACUUGCUGCACAAUAGCCACACUGCUCCCACAGCGUUGCACAGAAACCAUGAAAGAUCUGAAACUGCUUUCACCAGCAGCAGCUGCUGCUUCUGCCUAAAUACCACAGAUGAUAUGGUUAAAUCAGCUAAUCUAUGACUGUAUACUCAUGCACAAGGAAAAUUUACAUAUUUUUCAGACUGUAGUAGGCAUGAAUGCCAAAGUAAUUACCGCGGAAGCAGCUGCAGCAGCAACCCUUCGACUUACACUAGGAAGUACAAAUCUUUCCCUUAAAGCAGCAGCCUCAGUGAGACUGUCUCUGGCUCUUUCAAGACCUUCAGUUAUGUAUAUGCUCACCUGCAAGAGUUGGAAUAAGGCAGCUAAUGAUACCACGUAAAAAUGACAGAGAACAAUGGCAGAGCUAUCCUCCCUCAUUGAAUAUGCUACAUUACUAAUGCAAGGUCGUUAAGUAGGAAAGGAUCCAUACAUAAAUUCCAGUCUCCAAAAAGUAGAAGAAAUAAAAGGAUAUCUAUGUACAAUGAAUUACACUCAACCUCCCAAAAAAGGAAUAUUCAAUUACAUAGUCCGCAUGCCAAAUGAAAAUAACGUAAAUACUUCCAGCUAGAGCCAUUAAAAUGGGCUUAGCCCAUGGGGCCGGUCCAACCCAACCCGCUACCGGGGUAGGGUUGGGAUAUGAUUUUUCAAGCCCAUUUAAAACUAGGGCUUAUAAGCCCAUGGGCCAAAGCUAUUUAUAUAAGGGUAACUUACAAAAAUCUCACUAGUGUAUGAGCUGAUCACUUAGAUGCACAUUAUGUUGUAAUAUUACGAAUCUUACCAGAUUUUGGACGCUUUGGUGAGUCCAGAUACAUAUAACUCGGGAUACAUGGACUUAAAAUUAUGUAAUUUAUUCUAGAUACACUCUAUCCAAGUGGAUUCGCAUAUAUCUAAUUAGAUACAUAGACAAAUCCCGCACCCUCGCCUCCCUCCCAUCUCGCUCGCCACUCUAUAUGGAAUGCAUCACACCAGAUACAUGUAUCUCGCGUAUCUAGCAUCCUAGAUACAUGUUAAUCACACUAGAUUUUUUGCUACUGUUAUUGAAACAACACCAUUGUUUGUCAUAUUUGAUUUGAAAAUCUUCUCAUUUUCUUUAAGUUGGAGAAUUUUAAGUUUGAAAAAAAAAGAAGGGCUAGCCCCCCCCAGCUCGCGACCCUUCUAGGGUUGGGUUGGGUUGAGCAUUUUUCAGGCCCUUUCAAAUAAAGGACCGGCGCGCCCUAGCCCAUCAAAUUCCUUGGCUCAUGAGGCUUGGGCCUGGUGGGGCUGGGCUGGCCCUUUUUGACAACUCUACUUCCAGCAGAAACAAACUUUGAAAUAGAAAGGUAGUGAACUUACUUGGUCCAGAAGGCAUGUAAAAACAGCCCUUACAUUAGCAGCAAUUGCAGCAGGCUGUACAAAAAAAUUACCAAGCAAUUAGUUCAAUCCUGUAGGUCUGAAACGAAUCAGUUUGGAUCAAUAUCAAAGGCCGAGGACAAGGACUGCACCAGUCUACAGGAAACAGACACAUGACAUUUGAUUAUUUUAAUCCUCUAACAUGACCGAUAAACUUAUCAGAAAAAAUGUUGUCUUUAGUCUUCUUUAGAACUGUUCGCUAAUUAAUUCACUUUGUGUGUGUCUCUCUGUAGCAUUCAGGCUCAAUACAAUAUAUAUUCUCUUGGAUCUUCCACCUAGCUAAUUUUAUAAAUCAGGAAGCUGUGCCCAACCAUCUCAAAGGUAUAUAUGCAUUCCAAGAAAGAGUAGGUUGUAGCCAGUGCCGUACGCAGAAUUUUCCAUAAGCGUUGUCACUAUUAAAUUGGGCCUUACAGGUUCUAAAUAUUGGGCCAAACUGCCAAAAGCCCAAAAUUGCAUUUGCAAAAAAAAAAAAGAGGUUGUGCAGGUUUGAUCCCGCAACUCUCACGCAAAAGUUGGAACACCCAUGACCCAACCACCAAGCUACUGAGUAACAUUGGUACAAACAGAGUCCUUUUAACAUUUCUACCUUUCAUAAUUGUUUUAUUUAUUACUUUUAUAGGUAUAUCUAGUUAAAAAAAAUCAACGAAACGGUGUCACGUGACACCCCUUGGACCAACGUAAAUCCGUCCCUGGUUGUAGCUCCCUGCAACAUCCUGAAGCAUAUGUCACAUAUACCUGUGAUGAAAACAAAGUGCAUCUGGAUACUGCUUCUUCAUUCCAACGAACAAACUCUGUCACCACAGUAACAGAAAUUUGCUGGUGAGAGGAUGCCAUUGAAGCACCUUUUGAGCGUCCAAUUGUCCCAGAUGACUCGGAGGAUUGCUGGCCUUCAGCACGUAGCUCCUCCAUCUGCAAGGUAUAACCAAAGUGUGUUAACGCUAGUUCAUGAGUAAGAAUCAGUAUAAUGAUAUUUUAUCAGUGGAAUGCUUCAUAAACACCGAGUUCGGCAACUUGUUGCAAGUUUAUGGCACUAAUUAUGAUCUUUUUCUUCUAACAGUGUACCUCCCAAAGUUCAAAAUUGCUUAAUGGUUUUCAGAAAAACAUGAGUCAGAUAUCAUACAAAUAGAUUAGGUAAGAAUCCACCCAACGUAGUCCUAUUGAAACUUAUUUGGGCUCUGCAAGGAAAUAAUCUCAAGCUUUCCACAACCUGCUAACACAGCCAAUUGACAGUCCAUAAAUCUUAUCCCUUUCUCUCUUCAGACUCCAGUUUAUUACUUAUAUAUAUAUACAUAUGUAUAUAUAUAUAUAUAUAUAUAUAUAUAGAUAUAUAUCACCAUCAUCAUCAUCAUAACCAAAUAAAAUACUGGAAAGCAGAUAUGUUAACAUUUAGAGUGUUAUUUCCAGAGUUAUUUAUCUCCAUGCUGUAGAGGCGUCUUUAUAAAUUUUUCUUCUGCAAGUUAAGACCAAAAGGAAAGAGAGAACUAGACAGAGAUAUAUCCUAAAAUUAAGAUGAUGGACCACUAAGAGACAGACUGUCCCAACCUUAGCUUUGUAGAGUUGUCUAAGAGAGGCCUGCUCGUACUCAAUGUAUAUGUCUUUGUGGGGUAGAAACAGGGAUUCUGUUAAACCUGUCCAGAAGAAAAACAACAUGAGAUUGUAAUGCACAAACACCAAAGUCACGAUCAAGUACAACAGAAGCUAAGGUGCAACCAUAUUUAAACAGUAGAAAACUUCUUCAACAAAAAGUGUUGCAGUGCAAUUAUGCUUGAUUUUACCAAUCAAAAUCUUUCUGUACAUUUAUUUUUUUGUGGAAGUAAGAUGUUAUAUGAGCAUGGCAUUUUCUGUACUUUUUGGGAACUCAAGCAGAUAGAAUGACAGGAUAGCACAAGAAAGGUCAGGUUUUAGAUUUGAUAUUAGAUCCACAUAUUCUCCAUUGUAGUUAGUUCUAUUUUAACUAAAGAUAACUAUGUCAGCAACUAGGAAGAGUAGCAUUCAAUGUUAGAAUGCUAAAGGUUAAAUAAGAAUAUUAGAAGUGCCCAGUUCUAAAGUAAGGUAUUCUCCAACAUUGGACAGAUAACAUAUGUGUAUCGUGGUUGACACCAAUAAAGACUAAAGAGGUGUGUCUUUUAUUUAUCCAAUCACCGAAUCAUCAGUAUCUCUUCUUCUCUUAUUUUCUCAUAUGGUAUCAAUCCUCUACAAUCUAGGUAAAGAUCCAAGUACUUCAGUCUACUGGGAAGGUCAGCUGACUAGAGUUUUUCUGUUCUUUUACACCGUUGGUAAAGGCUAGCCUAAAGCACAUUUCAGCCCUGAAGCAUGGUGAAGCCCACGUUGGGUGCUUCACCUUGCUUAAUAGGCGCUUUAGGUCAAGGUGCUAAGGUGUGUGCAACCUCACCAACGGGGGUUUCUGUCUUCAAGGACACAACAACAUAUAUAAAUAAUUCAACUAUAGAUUUUCCAUUCUUUUGUCCAAAUAAUCAUUUUUUGUAUUUAUAGUUACAUUUUCUUGCAUUACAUUUCUUUUUUUUGUUCUCUCUUCAUUGGUGGUUUUUCUGCGGUUAGCCUAUAGUUUGAUUGCAUUUAAAGCUCCAACAUACUUUGACGCUUUUUUACUUUUCACUUUUCACUAAUUUGCUCUUUUAUAAUUUUAGUACUGAUACUGUAAAGAUGGAUCUUGGGCCCAACUCAACCCCAAAAGCUAGCUCAUGAGGGGAGGAUUGUCCAAGUCCAUAUAAGAGACCAAAUUCCCAUCCCUUAUCCGAUGUGGAAUUCUUAACACUCCUGCGCACGCCCAGACCUUGUCAAUUGGAGCAUGGACACUAUAAUAUGGGGGCCCAACAUUGGCGAAUAAAGAAUUGGGAUGGGUCUGGCUCUGAUACCAUGUAAAGAUGGAUCUUGGGCCUAAAUCAACCCCAAACUAGCUCAUAAGGGGAGGAUUGUCCAAAGUCCUUAUAAAGAGACCAAAUUUUCAUCCCUUUUCCGAUGUGGGAAUUCUUAACAGAUACCAUGCUAGCGGAACCACUCUUAAUUUCGGUGCACAUUUCAGUCUACUGUGCUCUUUUUUCCUGAACGUUCUAGCAGCACACACAUUUUUCGAUGAAGAGAAGUCGCGUGAGUUUGUUUUGCAUAAGUUUUAAAAUUAACCUUAGAUUCUCGCUUUUCUCUCUAAAGCGCAGAGCUUCUCGCUUCGACACCAAAAGCGCAUGCUUUCUUUUCCUCCGGCGCCUCACUUCAGUGGCAGAGAAGCGCUGAAGCUCGCGCUUUUAAUAACACUGGUUGGUAGUUCCUUCAACGAUCUAUAAACGAGCAGGCUUCACUAUCCCAAUUCUACCUUCUUUUUUCCCCAUUCAAUAAUUGAAAAUAUCCAAUCUUCUUUCUUUUGCUUCUACCUCCCAUUCAAUUAAUUGAUCUUCUUCCUUUACGCCAGAAGGAAAAAAUCAAAAGAAAAAACUUCUCUGUCAUCUUUUUUCACAACCGAGUAGAUCAAACUUAUUAGCUGCUUAUUCUUCUGCUACUUUUUAGUUGUUUUCUAGCAAUCUUCAUUGUUUUUUCACUUCCUCGAGACGAGAAAAAUGAACUGUCUGCAAGUGAAUUGGGGUAAAUCUUUUUUUUUACAUCCAAUAGCAAUACCUUCUAGUGUAGCGCUUUAGACAUUUGUCACAGCCCUUAUUGUUUCCUCAUCUUAGUUAAUAAAGCUAUUUCAGAGUCACGACACUGACAAAAAAAUUUGGGGCUUGUACAUGUCUCCAUAAAAGUGCAUCUCAAAAUAUUAUUUUGGAGCAAUAUUUGGUCCAAAUGAAAAGCAGUUAUAUGCAGAUCUUUGUAUCUUCACUUGAAUCUCCAUCACAUUUACACAAUAAAAAUUCAACCAGAUGUUUGCAAGGAUGAGAUGAUGGAAAGUAUUUCUACCUUCAACAUCCAAGUCGCCACACCCUACACCACGCAAGUCUCUAGCAAGCUCUUGUGUCUUCUCAUAUGCCACGGCUAGCAAUCUGAGAUACUGAAUGCACAAAAAUGAAUAAAAAAGGAUAAAUUAGUGGCUCAUGUUUUUCCCUCAAGGUCUGUACGAACAGAAGAAAAUUCAUUGUCAUGUUACUCACUAAUAUAAGUCCUCCUUCUUCCAUGGGAGGUGGACUAACAAGAGACGGUUUCAGUAAGAGUUUCUCAAGUAGCUUUGGAACACGAUCCUCCAAGACACGCUGAACAACCACCACGGUUUAGUCACUAUAUAACAAUCCACAGUACAGUUUUUACAGUGACACAUUCGGCAAUCAUUUUAACUUGAACGGCAACACCAGAAUCAAUAGAGAAUAGAAGAUGGCUUAGAGGAAGCUCAAAGCAUCUAUAGGGAACAAUGUUCAGAAAAAACAGUAAAUAUUCAUAAGAAAGUAGUAUGCUAAGUCAUCUAGCAAGAAAUUUUUUAGCAAAAUCACUCUGCCCAUAUUCUGAGCUAGCUUGUUUUAUUACUGGCAUGCACCAUCACACCAGAAGAAGAUAAUUCAACAACUAACUACCUCAAGCACAACGCCAGUAAUAAUACAACCAUACCUGAACUAGUAUUGACAUUACAUCAUUUGGGGACGGAAAAACAGCUGCUAUUGUGGCUGCUUCUUUGCGCACAGUCUCUGAAAUUAAAUCCAAGGCAUCAAGAGGCAUGAAUUGAAAAGAAAACCACUUUUCGAUUCAGAUCAAUUUCAGUUUUUAUAACCUGUAAUCUCUUUAAAAAUUGAAGAAAGACCACGUGCAACAUUGCUAGGGCUGGGUUGUGCACCCUGAUCUCCAAGAACCAAUUCAGCAUCUGCAUUCAUGACCUCCAGAUCGAACAUUGGACAUAAUCCCACAUAGUGUUGCAUAGCACUGGUACCCCGGUUAAACUAAUUUCCAACAUUAAUAUGUCAAAAUCAGAAAAAGUUUCUGAAUGUAUAUAACCUAGAAUCCGAUACUGAAUUCUAAGUAAACAACGAAAAUUUCAGAUGGCACUCAAAAGGGAAGCAACCAACAUGAUCUAGAAUGAAAAAGUAAAUAACAAUUCUCAUAAAGCUCCAUGUUAUCUGUACACUUUCUUUUUAAAAAAAUCAUGAUCAGCUGCACCUUAUCACAGUUGUUCCGUAGAACAACUUUACACAUGGAGAUUUCACCUGAGGAACAAAAUGAUAGGUCUACAUAAUUUACUUGUUUACCUGUGACAAAAUUUUAGCGCAUUCCCGCAUUGUAGACAGCUCACGUUUCUGUGAAGCCAAAUCAAAUCGAGAUAGUAAUCUGUUUUCCAGCUCUACAGCCACAAAAUAAGAAAAAAACUUAAUCUGUCCUUUAACAAGAAAGCAAACUCUAUUGAAUUGUAAGUAAAAGGCAAGGAAGAAAAUUAAGUAUGGAUAAUGAGAGUUCUCACUUCUUUCUUUUAAUCAGUAAGUUGCCACAGUUUCUAUAAAUGUUAUUUUCUCAACAUCAUCGUUCUACAAAUCGUGCAUACCAUAUAUACUAUCAAUCAAUCAACUACGUCUAAAUUCUAAAUUAUUUGGUGUCAACUUUAUGAAUCCUCUGUAUUUACUCCAUUCUAUCAGGUCUAUUUCUUCUGCAUGCAAGAUUGGUAGAUAACUUGUUUCCUAGGGAAAAUUAAGGGUUAAUAUCUAGAGGUUUUCUAAAUCUCACUUAUUCUUACAUGUACAUAUAUGUCUUCAAAUAGAAUAGCAAGACUUUAUGAACAAAUCUAAUGUAAAUAUAACAACAACUAAGUCUAAACAUUUAAAGCAGAAGGAAAACAAGGAAGAGUAAAAAAAGUAACUGCCAAACACAGGAGAACAUUAACAGCGGAAACCUUCCCCAGUACCACCUAAGACAGAUCUUAAAUUGCAGUACUAUGUGUCCGACUCAUAAAAAAACGCAUGAAAGAAAAGACGGACUUCAUAUAAUGGUUUCUAUCUCAGUUCAUACCAAGAUCACUUUCAACUAUAUGGUUAAAACAGAUAACAGUUACCAAUUUCAAAAAAUAUAUGGUUAAAACAGAUGCCUAAAAAUUAAGCUCUGUCAAUUUUGUUGUGUACUUACUUAAAAAAAAACACUAGCACUCUGAGCUACAUCAAUUCUGACUUAUAAGGGGUCAUUAUUAGCAUACCUCAUACAUAUACAUAUUUUGAGAAGGCAUGUGUCUACAUAUAAUUUUUUGAGAAGGCAUACCUCAAUGCAUAUAUUUAUCAACUUCUUUUCUCUUUGCCCUUUUUCUUUUGGUUGAUAACAGUACAAUAGGGGUUAACUUGUUGGCACCUAGAUUAACCAACUGAAAACCUGCUACCUCCAACCAACACAACUCUAGGGUUACUCUAAUUUGUCCUCAUGUCGAUCAAGAUUAGACAAGUGGAAAGAUACAUUCGCAUUUGGUGUCCUAUGUGAUGAGAAUGCACCACCAAGAGUUGAGACAAAGGUAAGUUUAUGGAAUGGUUGUCAGACCAACUAUGUUGUAUGGAGCAAAGUGUUUGCCAGUCAAGAACUCACACGUCCAGAAAAUGGAAGUAGCAAAAGUAAGGAUGCUUAGAUGGAUAUGUGGGCACACUAAGAGAGACAAGAUUAGGAACGAGGAUUACCGGGCAAGGUGGGGAUGGCCUUCAUGGUGGAGAUGUGGGAAGCAAGACUGAGAUGGUUUGGGCAUGUGAAGAGGAGGAGGAGCACAGAUGCCACAGUAAGGAGGUGCGAGAGGUUGACGGCGAUAGUAUUAAAGAGAGGUAUAGGUACUCCGAGGAAGAAUAGGAGAGAGGUGAUUACACAUAACAUGGCACAUCUACAACUCAUCAAGGACAUGAUCCUAGACAGGAGGGCAUGAUGUUCGAGGAUUAAGGUAGAAGGUUCGUAGGUAGUCGAGCAAUUUCUUUCUUUUCUUUGGGUCAGAGGAUGGUUCUAGUCAAACAUGGUAUUAUUAGUAUCAUUCUACCAUUUUCUUACUCUUCAAUUCUAACACUAUUGUUGUUUAUUUUGCUUUGGUUAUCUUUACUCUUUUUGCUAUAAAUACUUUUUUUUUCUUUGAUAUUUUCAUCAUAGCUUGUUUUACUCGUGUAUUUUUCAAAACUGUUUAGAAAAAUGUUUUUCUUGAGUCGAGGGUCUAUUGUAAACAACCUCUCGACCCCGCAGAGUUAGGGGUAAGGUAUGCAUAAACCCCACCCUUGUCAGAUCCUACUUGUGGGAUCACACUGGGUAUGAUGUUGUUGUUGUUGUUGUGAUUGGCUUGUCUCUAGAUGGAUUUCUCGUCAUAAGAAGUAAGUGCUAGAGAUGUGGUGUGAUGUUUUGCAUUCAAGGCCUUUGGUAAAGCUACUAAAGGUAGAUCCAGGGGGUUUCAAAUAAAUCACAAUAUACAGAGCAUCAACAGUGCCAACCAAUGUAUGUGACAAUCAAAGGAGAGCUAAAAGUUUGAAGAAGCAUUUUGGCAAGGUGCAGGUUAAUAUCACUUUUCAUUAUGCAGCCGUGAGUAUCUGCUGCAAAACCUUACCUAUCAGAAGUUGUUUCUCAAAACAAAUUAAAAAAAGAAAUCUCACAAACCAAAAAAAAAAAAAAAAUCACGAAUAAAGGAAAUAAAACAGGAUAAAGCUCAAAGAAUUCCUUUAACUGAAUACAUAGCUCUAGUGCUCGACAAGCUACUCAAAUUUAACCUAGCACAUAAGCAAUUAAAAUAGUUAUAUUUGAUUUAAUAAUUCUAUUCUAAAUUAAAAAUGAAUAAGUAAAUAAACAAAAACCAACAUGGUCAAACCCAAAUAGCUCACAGAAAGGCCUCCCUAAGUUAACAACCCAAGUCUAGUUUCCUUCUGUCUUAGCUAUCCACUCAUCACUUGGUAUAUCUCACUAUCUUUUCGAUAAAUCCCAAAUUUCUAUAUACUUUUCAUGAAUCGUGAUUUUUUUCCUUUUAAUUAAGCUUUGAACAUUGUACUAUUUAAAAGUUACACACUGGUCACAGGUUAUGAAAUUCGUUGUUCUUUUUCUCUUUCAUUUUACACUUGGUAAACCUGACUCCUUUCCCACAAACCCCCUCUAUCUUUCCCACUUUUUUCCUUGGUGACGGGAACACCACCCUCAAGGUUGUAGGUGGAGAAUACUUUCUACUAGGCUAUCCCUACCUUAUCCUCAUGAAAUUUGACCUUGCAACUUAAAUUCUUGUCCCUCGAUCACCAGUUUUAUAAUAUAAAUUUCAGGUUUUGAGAUGUUCAAAUAUGUUUUCACACACUUCAAUGAACAGUAAUGCUUUAUACAACUAAUCAUGGGGUUCAAGCAUUCAAAUACUCAAAAUUUCCUUUCGCAACAACCUGCAUAAAAUGUUACUCAAAUUGAAAUGACUUCUUAAGACCUUAAUUAUAUCACAUAAAAAUUGGACCAUGAGAUAUGAUCUCUAGUAAUCUACCCUUACGAGUAUGUCACAGCCAAACUAAGAUACUGAAAUGGAACUAUGUAUCAGUAUAGCUACUCGCAUUAGGUUACUGAGCUAGUGGCAUUGGUGUACCUAACUGAAGCUUUCACAAAUUCCUGCACCAAACAACCCUUGCCAAAAUCAAAACAAACUAUAAAACACUUCACUUAGAAAAAGACUAGAGUAACUCAGGACAGUAUUUGCCAAUUGAACCCCACAGAAGUUAAGUUCAAUUGGCAAAGGUUGAGGAACUAGUGUCUUAGGCCACAAGUUUGAGCCUUGCGCCAAGUGAACUAAUUCUGGUGUUUAAGUGGAGAAGGGUAGAGUGCAGGCCCAUCAUCUCCGAGUUUCUGGGGCUGCAGUAGGCCUAAUAGGUUGGCUCCAGACAGAUUUCUCAAUCAUUAAAAAAAACACCCAGGACAGUAAAAAGGAUUGAACCAUAUAGUCACUAAGCGCUUGUCUCAAAAAUUGGAAGAAUCGUUCAUAGGGUUUUGAAGCUUCAUAUCUGACAUUUAUAGUAAUAGAUUUACUUCCUUUACUCAACCACUUAAUCUAUGGUAUGGAGUUCAAUCAAGUACCCUGUUCCUUUACAAAAAUGCUUCCUGCACUUAUUAAGUAGAACAGCAAAUGGAGGGUUCGAGGUCUUUAAAAUCUGUCUUACAGUUAUAACAAGAAAAAACAAGUAGAAGUGGUAGAUGGAGAAAUAAGUUCCUGAUUAUGUACCAUUGCAGUAUUCUUGGAGAUUGGCAACAGCAACUUCCAGUCCUCUACUCGCAGUUGCAUUACCGACAGCUGAUGAGAUGGUCAUGGCUUGUCCUCCAAUAUCAUCCUCAGCAAAUGAUCCUAGUAUGUAUGUGGAAAGAUAUGUCACUCUUCAUAAAAAUCAAGGAAAAUGAAGAAAAGAAGUCCUAACAUGAAGAUCCCUGGAAAAGAAGAAUAUUACUGAAUGUAACUGCAACUAGAAGAAGACACUAUUGUUACACUCUUGUAUACCAAGAAAGAAAUCAAAGUCAAGUCCAUUUCUUUUAUCUAAAGAGGAACAUCACGGAAGGAAAGGAUAAGAAAUCCUCAAACAAAAAAGAGCAUUGUGUAAAGUGCAUGCCUCAGUAGAAUUAAGAUAUUAAAAAACUAAGUCUAAAAUAAUACGAGCAAUAAGAAGAAUGAAUAGUGAUUGAGACAAUGGGUCACUGACCAGGACCUGCAAAAUCCAACUGUCACACUAUACCACUCUCAGAUGCGCCCCUCCAGUGGAGAAUUUAUGUGUAAAAAAAGAGUCAUGUGAACCCAUGGUCAUCUGACUAAAAUAGAUUUAUUAUUUGUUAUAAUACUUAAAUAUAUCUAGUAUUAUCUGAAGGCACAAUCAAAAGAGAUUGAGUGGUUCACUGGUUGAGAGCUAGUCCUAACUCCAUCAAGUCAAGGGAUCAAAUCCCACUUACUGCCAUUUGUUUCUUUUUUUUAAAAAAAUCUAGAGCAGCCUUCCUUAUAAAACUGCCCCCUUCAUUUUUGUUUUUUUAAUAUCUCUGAUGAUAUUUUUUGUGAUAAUAUAAUUAAUUAUUUGCUCGCCAAGUUGUUGUCAUCAUAACAUAAAAACUUAAUUUUUUUUUAAGAAAAAAACAAAAGAUAUGAAUCCUCUAGUCCAAUUGUUCCUUUGAAAUUUAUAUCUAAUCUUUAAACAAUGGUGCACCCGUUGUCUUGAAUCCUGGAUUCAUCUCUAGCCUGCCCAAUCCUCAAAAGAGAACGUAAAAAGGAAACGAGCAGCAGGAUAUUCGCAUCAGCUAUUCUAUUAUGCUAUUUACCAUAAAUAUGACAAAUCCCUCAGUAAUGGAAAACAUCUGCAGAAUGCAAACCACUACACAUUUUAAGGCACUGGGCCAAAAUAAUUUGUCGUUCACAAAGUCUCGUAUGAUUAUGAGAUGAUAAUACAGAGAUACAGAUCUUAUGCCAUGGAAACCUCAUGGGAAGACAAAGUGUUAGCUUUGGGUAGUCUAGGAAGGAAAAUCUAAAUCCAGGGUCUACACAGGAAAGAGAGAACCCUGCUUCAGGCUGCUCUAUGCAUUGCUGAUUUUUUUCAUUUUUAGGAAAAGGGAACUGAACCGGAAAAGAAAGAGGACAAAGACAAGAUAGAGAGAAAAUAAAGAGAUUAGAUUCAGGACACUGCUAUAGAACUCUAAAUUUGAAGUCUACUAUAUAAACUGUAAAUUAAAAUUUCAAGGAAAAAAAAAAGGCUAAUGACAUGUUGGCAUCUUUCUUAAAACUAAGAAGCAGACGAUUUUCUUCACUUUAUACAUCGACUAGUAGGUAAUAAACACAAGGAGUUAAUACAAUUGACAGCUGAAACAAUCAUGGGAAAAAAAUUUAGGUAAAGCAAGUGUGAUGUUUACAACAUGAGAAUAUCGAGGAAGCAUAUGGAUCUCACUUAAUUUUUGAGCAAUUGAAGCAGCUUCCGCAACACGACUAUCAUCAGAAAAUAAAGGAGAAAGUUCCAUCAGGUCUCCUGGACUGCCAUUGAACUCCAUCAAGUACUAUCAAAGGAAGCAACUAAUACUGUCAGUUUUAAAAUGAGGAUAGAACUUGUUUUACAGCAUGAACGAAGUAAGUCAGAAGUUCUUUCGUUAACCGAGAAGUUAACCAGUAAAAGUUUACCUUUAUGAGCUCUAUCGUCUGACUAGCAACUUCUCUCUGAGCAUCUGCACUCUGAACACAAAAGGAGAUUCAAUAUAUUCUGAAAAUACUAACAGCAUUCUCUGAUGACAUGGUCUUAAACAGCUUGGAAAACAGAUCAACAUAAAAAUUAUGGAGUUGAGCAAAAGAUUCUCUUUCUUUCUACUCAUAAAAGUAGGCAUUUCAUUAUCAGUAGGAGAAACACACAGUAAAAGUGGAAGAAUAUUUUUCUGGAAAAAAAAACAAGUUGCACUUGACCAUAAAAUAAAAACAUUAACCUUAAUCAAGCAUCAAAACAAGUGCUUACAAGACUUUCAAAAUACAAAGAAGGUAUUAAGCAGCUAUACCUGUAGAUGAUCUCCUAUUUUGGCAGCCGUUUGACCCACACUAGAUAUACGCAAGUCCAACCGUGCAAAGCUAUCAAACAAGCCGUCUACACCUUUUUCCAGCUGCACAAUGCAAUGUUCUUAAACUUGAGGCCUUUAUUUAGGUAAAAAGAAGCUCCACACAGCAUGAAGGAUAUUGAACACCUUUGGAAGUACACAGGGAAGAGAGAGACACUGAUCGAAACAAGUGGAUCAACUCUCAUUUUCAUAAAACAAAUUUCAGAAGUAUAUUGAAAACAGCCCCAUACAUACUGUGAUUUAAAAUGUUACUCAACAUCAUUUUGUCAUUAUUUAUUCUAUCAAGACACUUAUUAUGGGGCAGAGUACAACACAAUGAGGUAAUUUAUUACAAAGAUAUUUUCCAGAAAAAAUAUUUCCGAUGACUGAAAUAUUAACUUCAUCUCAUAAUGGCCACGAUACUGAAUUCAAUACACUAACCUCAGAAAGUGUCUUCCGGUGCUCUGAAUCUUGGACAACAACUUCCUUUUUAAGAUCACUAAGGUUCCCAUCAAUCUUUGAUUAAAUAUGAGGGGAUUAGAAUAAAAGUCAUCAGCAAAAGUAUUAUCUCACUGAAUCCACAUAUAAUGCUUUACCAUACCUGUUUUCUUAGAUCAACCAAUUGUUUACAAGAAUUCUUAAAUAAGGAUAAUAAAGCAUUAACUUCAGGGAAUAGGGGACUUGACAGUCCUUGUGCUGACUUUCCCGCAUCUGGUGGUGCUCGCAAAUUCCCAUUUGGUAGAGCAUCACUUCCAACACCAUUUCCAUGCCCUUCCGCAGAAUCUGAUUCUUCUUCUUGAUAAGAAGGCAAUAUCUCAUUCACCAAGUUACCAAACAAGCCAUCAAAGGAGAAAGCCCCCUGCAUUUAGUAAAUAGAGCACAUUGCUGUCAGUUAACUACAAAAUUUCUAAAGCUUAAGUUGGGAUAAUCUUCCAGUCAAAUUAAAUGGUAUCCAAGGCAUCACCUUAAAAUCAUCUAUGUCAAGAACAAGCGGAUCAGAGUCGGCAGAUGCAGAUCCUGAAAACCUGUCAGCCGUCAUUCCAUCUCUAGACUCUCUCAUCUAUUCUAAGUCAAAAGAAAAUGGAACCAGAAAUUAUCUCAGUCAUCUUCACUAAAUAACUGGAUUGCAAUCAUUUGACAAGCAGGAAAACAAAGUUAAAAAGUAGCAUAAAGUUGGUGUACAACAGAAGAACUGUGAUCAGUCCUCAUUUAUUCAUUGAAAACAGCUAUAUGACAGACAAGUAACGAAGAAACAGGUAGCAACAAAAAAAAGUGAAUUUUUUACUAAUAUAAAUUAUGCAAGGGAAAAACAAAAGCCGCAAGACUUUCAGCAAUUUCAUACAAAAUCAAAAUUCAGAUGAGAUAUAAGUGUGCAUAUUUGCCAUAUCCAUUAACUACUAGAUCUGCUCUAGACUAACCUUAUACUGAGCAGGGACACUUUUUUACCGAUUAAAUUCUAAUUUUAUUAAUAAGGGAGAAAAACUCCCGUAUAUGAGAGGUAUACCAAAAAGAGUAACGAAUAUAGAAAGAUAUGAUUCUCUACGAAAGACAUCCAAUAUUCUACAGAAAUGAGAACUUCAUAGGUGCAAGCAAAAGACAUUAAAAACAUGAGGUAACCUCAAAUGUACAAAAUCAAGCUUUUUCCCUACAAAAACUCUCUUAUUUCUCUCCCUCCAUAUUGUCCAUAUGAGUGCUUAUGAAACAACAUGCCAUGUCUAGUACCUGGCAUAGUCCAUUGUAUCAUGAACUAUCUUGAGAUCUCCCACCCAUACUCGUGAUGCUCCCUGACAAUUCAGUAAGAGAUGAUCCACAUCCUCUUCUAAGUGUUUACCCUUGUGCACAAACCAACAUAUGUAAUCAGAAUCCUACUCUUUCUCAAGUUUUCAACCAUCAGAAUCACACCUCUAACCGCCAACCAAGAAAACAAAAUUCAUCUUUCUUGGCACCAUGGGGAUUCAAACUAAUAGAUGAAGGAAACUUGAUUUCUCAAACUAGAAAUGUACAACAAUAACUCCUCACUGAGCAGGAACAGAUAUUUGUUCUUACAUCACCUUCAACUAAAUUCUGAUGUCUCAUUUAAAACAACCAAUACCUUAUAGCACUCAUCCUGAUGUUAUGGAUAUCAAUGAUACAUGUGUUCUUUUUUUAAACUGGUAACAUUUGUAUUUCAUAUAGUACUUAGGUAGUACUGAAAAACAUAUUUAUUUACAAAAGCAGAAAGGAAGUAUAAUCUAUCCAAAAACUGAACCAAAUCUAAAUGGAUCCUAAAACAUCUAUGAUUGACUCAGUUUCAUUGGAGUAGACAUUUGUACACCAAAAGCAAAACAACAAAAUACACUUGAGCUUUACUUCCUGGAGGUUGUUGUUCCUAUUCUCAAAAUAUCUAUCGUUCUCUCCCUCCAUAUAGUCCACCAAAUACUUUUUUGAAACUGGUAACAUUUGUAUUUCAUAUAGUACUUAGGUAGUACUGAAAAACAUAUUUAUUUACAAAAGCAGAAAGGAAGUAUAAUCUAUCCAAAAACUGAACCAAAUCUAAACGGACCCUAAAACAUCAUGAUUGACUCAGUUUCAUUGGAGUAGACAUUUGUACACCAAAAGCAAAACAACAAAAUACACUUGAGCUUUACUUCCUGGAGGUUGUUGUUCCUAUUCUCAAAAUAUCUAUCGUUCUCUCCCUCCAUAUAGUCCACCAAAAACAAGCAGGGAUCAUCCUCCAUCUUUCUCUGUUUGUAGCCCCCAACUCCCAGCCAUCUCCCAACUGAAUAGAGUCUCAUCAAUCUUGCUAGGCAUUCUCCAAGAUAUGCCUCUGAGAUUAAGGAAAAUCUGCCACAGCUGCCCAGUAAAGUUGCAAUGUAAGAAGAGAUGUCUCACUGUCUCAUUAGCCUUACCACAUAAGGAACGUCUGUUGCAUAGAGAGAUUCCUCUCUUGGCCACAUUAUCCAAUGUCAAAACUGCUUCAUUGGCUAGUAGCCAUGUAAAGCAUGCCACUUUGUGUGGCACUUUGAUCCUCCAGAUUUGCUUCCAAGGCCAUUUGAAGCCUUGAAUGCCACCAAACUUAUUUGUUUGUAUCCUUCUUUCACCUUGUAACUACCUUUGUUGUGCCCCUGCCACCAUAAAUAAUCCUCACUUGUUUGUAUACCUUGGAAAUUCUCUAGAACCUUAAACAGUUCAAGUAUUCUGGGAAUUUCUUAGUCAUUCAGAUUUCUUCUAAGGAUCAGAUCCCAGCCUUGUUGUGUCCACAUUUCAGCGACAGUCUUCUGUUGGUGUUGAGCCAAUGUAAAGAUGUCAAGAAAACGAUCUUUGAGGCUCAUACCACCCAUCCAUUUAUCAAACCAAAAACUGGUUUUUCUGCCAUUUUGUACCUUGACAAUUGACUGAUUACUCAGGAAAGGCCAAAAUAUUCUGGUGGAUUUCCAAAGGCUAAUCCCAUAGGGGGUAUUUACCUCUUUGGUUACCCAUUUAUUCAGCUCCUCAUACUUGUUGUUGAUCACCCUAUACCAUAGUGCUUGAUCCUCCUGGUGGUACCUCCAUAACCAUUUCACCUUAAGAGCUUUGCUAUGGUUUUUGAGAUUCUUGAUACCUAAUCCACCUUGCAUCUUACUUCUGAUGAUGUGUUCUUCCACUUGACUAAGUGAAAGCCUUUUCUUUCCUUAUUUCCUUGCCACAGGAAGUUUUUUCUAAUCUAGUCCAACUUCUGAACUACUGACUGGGGAAUAUGGAAGAGCAUUUAGAACCAGAGUUUAUCAGAGUUAAUCUACCUCCCAAAGAGAGGUAUUGUGAUCUCCAUCUAGCUAGUGUCUUUUCGCAUUUCUCCAAUAUUGGGUUCCAAAUGUCUAUGGAUCCCGACUUUGCCCCCAAAGGCAUGCCCAAGUAUACUGAUGGCAGAGUACCUAUCACUCCUCCCCAAGGUUUGUGAGAGGUGUUCCAUAUCUGGAACCACAUUAAUUGGAUACAAAUGGCUUUUGUUCUAGUUUAUAUGUAGUCCAGAUAUGGCUUCAAAGUAAACUAGUAUAAGUCUCAAAAUCAGCAAUUGCUCCUCCUCAGCCCCACAAAUAAUUAGUGCAUCAUCGGCAUACUGCAGGUGUGUGAUCUCCACACUAUUCCCAGCAACCUUACUGACUUCAAAUCCAUGUAUUCUUCCUGUUGUCUUGGCUAUCUUCAACAUAUUGUUAAGCCCCUCCAUAGCUACGAUCAACAGGAAGGGUGAUAAGGGAUCCCCUUGCCUGAUUCCUCUGUGUGCACUGAAAAAGCCUUCAGGAGAUCCAUUGUUGAGUACUGAAAACUUAACAGUUGAAAUACAAAACUUGAUCCAAAGGAUCCAUCUGCUACCAAAUCCCAUCUGUCUCAACAUAAAUAGAAUGAAAUCCCAAUUCACAUGGUCAUAUGCUUUCUCAAUAUCAAGUUUGCAUAGUAUACCAGGUUUCUUCUGGGACACUCUAGAAUCAAUUGCUUCGUUAGCUAUAAGCACUGCAUCCAUUAUCUGUUUGCCUCUAAUAAAAGCCAUCUGUUGUUUGUCUACCAACUUAUUCACAACUCUCUUCAACCUUUCUGUCAAAACCUUGGGCAUUAGCUUAUAGAAGCUUCCAAUUAAGCUGAUGGGUCUGAAGUCAUUGAGUUCCUUUGCUCCUAUCUUCUUGGGAAUCAGUGUUAUGUAGGUUGCAUAAUAGCUCUUUUCAAACAUCCAGUUGACUGAAAAUUGUGGAAAGCCCCCAUAAUGUCAUGUUUAAUGAUCUCCCAGCAAUUAAAAAAAAAAAAACCAUUGUGUAUCCAUCAGCACAGGGGCUUUGUCUAUAGCACACAUUUUUAAACACUCAAGUACUUCUUGUUCCUCAAAAUCUGCCAGCCACCCUCUGUAUUGGUAGGAUGAUAAUGAUACAUGUGUUCUCAAAAAGCAUCUAACCAUCUAUAGGCUUAUUCCUAGUUCGAAGAAAUUCCAAGGUGAUUCAUAAAAGACUUGAAUCAGCCCUUGUCGCUAAUAGGAUAGCAUGUUCACAACUGCCAGAAUAAGUUAUACUUCUAGGCCAAUCAAACUCACAUGCUGGUGGCAAAGCAAAAUCACAACAUUAAAUAUCAGUGGCACUUGCUAUUAUUAUAAAAAAUUUGCCUAUGUGAGCUCGCUCACAUUGCGGUCCCAAGCCAGGAUAAAGGAAGAGAGUGGUCAAUCCGAAGCAGCCUCUCUACCCUAUAAAGGUAGGGGUGAGGUUGCGUACAUCUUACCCUCUCCAGAUCCCACUUGUGAGAUUACACCGGGUUUGUUAUUCUUGUUGUUGUUGUACUUAGUAUUAUUAUAAAAAUAGAAGGUUGUGAUUAGUCCAAAGGGCGGCGGAUCACAGACGGAUUUCUCGGUUAUCAAAAAAAAAAUAGAAAUAAUGGAGAUGGAAAGCUGAAAUGGCAUAUGACCAUGUAAUUGACAAUUCCCACCAAAGUUGUAAGAUCCAUCGGCAUUGUCAAAUAUAGUCUGGUUGGAGUAAGCUUGUAUCUUAUCUUUCAAACUAAUUACCAACCGCAUACCUAGCAAGCGAUUCCUCCCCUCUUUGUAUGGAAAAGCUUUUAAAAGCCUAUUAGUUAGUAUUAGUAACAAAACUAGUUAAGGGGUUCGUAGUUGUCGCAAUCGGUUAAUUUAGUUGAUCUUGGCUUUGCAGCAAGGAGACCCUUUUCUUGUAUAGCUUCUAAAGGUUCCUUUUAGUUUCUCUUGGCUUUGAGACAAUAUCCUUUAUUUUAUUUUUUUAUAAGACAAGUUCUAUUAAAAAGGUACCAAUAUGGAACAAAAUUUAAAAAAAAACCCAGCAAUAACCACAACAAGGUAACUACAUUCCUCCCAUCUACUCUAGAAAAAACAUAUAUUGUUCCAUAUUUUUCUAUAACAUGUCUUUUAGACCAUAAAUACAAAGUUAAUAAGCAUCUAUUUUUAAUCCCGGAUACAUGAUGCAUUUACCCUUCAAAGAAAAUUCUAUUUCUUUCCAACCAUAUUGUCCAUAAAAAACAGAGAAAUUUUUCUCCAUACUAUCUUUUGUUUUUUGCCAUUGUUUGGUGUUGCCAUGUCUCCAACAAACUCUUUAUACCUGAAGACAUUUCCCACUUGACACCAUAUAUGUUUAGGAAGAUCUCUCAGCACUGUCUUACCACUUUGCAAUGAAUGAGUAUAUGAUUAACCGUAUCUGCUUCUUUUCACAUGUAACACCUAUUACAUAGAAUACUUCCUCUCUAAUGCAAGUUCUCCUAAGUUAUGCAAGCUUCCUUUGUUGCAAUCCAACUAAAACAAGCUACUUUAACUGAUGCUUUUGGAUUUCCAUAAAUUACUGAUUGUGAUAAAGCCCUUGUUAUUUUUGUAACAGACUAUAACAUCAGUUGACUGUGAAAAUACCAUCAUUGCUUGCUUCCCAGAUUAAUGAGUCUUUCAUGUUGUCCUCCAAUCUAGUGUCAUCAAAAGCAAAAAGUGCAAAAAAAAAGCUCUAAGGCAUGUUGGGGCUUUGAGUGCAAACCGCAAAUGAAAAGUGAGCUUUAAUGAAAAAAGGCGCAAAGGGAGACUCAAUACAAAUACAUAAAUGUUUAGUUCAAAACUAAUAAUUAUAAGUAUGAAUGACAAAUAUAUGAACAACGAAAUAUUAAAAAAGAAUUAGGAUAAAGUGAAAUAUCAAUUGUUUAGGGUCGCCUCUUCUGAAGAAACUCAUUGGCAAGGAAAAGUAUGUCUCAAAACGUUGAUGAUGACAUUGAAGCGCACAUUAAGCGAGGCGAAGCACUCAACACGUUCUGAGCCUCGCUUCAGGACUUAAGCGUGCCUUCGACAACACAGCUCCAAUCCAGUGUCCAAUAAUUGCAUCAAUCAAGCAAAUUCAUAUACUUCCCAUUGAGAGACCCCUCCUAAAGAUAAGCUGUCAACCAAUGCUUUAGUACAAGUCAGAUACCUUUCAUUUUGUUUGUGGAGCAGCUAUACAAAACAAAGAACUUUGAUCUAAAACUUUCACUUCCCAGCCAUACAUCAGACAAGAGUUGGGCAUUAUUAACAUUCCCUAGUUUCAGUUUCACAAACUGAUUAUAUUGAUUCAUUAAAUUACUGAUUGUGCUCCACACUCCCCACUUAAAAGAAGAUUUAACUGAGCAUGGAGCCCACAUGUCUUUCCAACCACACUUGGCAUCUAUCAACUGUUUCCAUGAUUUUUGCUGUCAUCAUUAUAUCUCCAAAGCCGUUUAAAUAAAAGGCUCUUGUUAUGCAACUUUAGAUUCCUCACUCUCACCCCCUCUUGGAACAAGGGACCUACUUCUCAUCCUAGGAGUAAGCAGGUAGAAAGAAUCCCCUCUCUUUUUUUUUGUUUUCUUUCAUUUGACCAAAUGGAACUUUUGUUAUCAACAAUGUUAUCAACAAUGCCUUCCCACAGAAAUUUCUACCUCUUAGUAAUCAACUUCUUCUCCACUGCUGUUGGCAUUUUAAGAGAGACAUCAAAUAAAUCGGUAUACCAUCCAUGACACUGUUGAUCAGUGCAUGUCAACCCCCAAAAGAUAAAUGUUGUCUCCCAUGGCACCAGUUUACUGCUACACCUAUCCAGGACCCCUAUCACAUCUUUGAAUUCUGUUUGCCUCCAGGUGGUAGGCCUAAAUAGAUGGUUGGUAGUUGCUCCACCUUACAGCCCAUGACAUCUGUCAGAUCAUCAAUACAAUGCUCAACACUAAUACUAAACACAUUAUUCUUGGUUCAAUUACAAGCCUGAUACAACCUCAAAAGCUAGUAAUACUCCUCUGAGAUGUAAGAGUUUAUCUUUUUUAGCCUAUGCUUCUUUAGCUUAUUCUAUUUAUUAUAAGUCUUGAGCAAGAUGUUGAAGAAGCCAUUGUCGACAGAUUACUCUCUAAAUUACAAGCCAAAGAUGAACAAUGUACUGUCCCAAGAUUGAGGAUUGCGGAAAUCUGAUAACCAUCAUCUAUUUACUUUUUCGCUAACAGUGCAUACUUCCUGUACCUUAGAUGAGUACAAAUGCUGAAUGGCACUUAAUGUUGCAUCAGAGUUGCGUUGAGAUUACGCGUCAUACACAUAACAUAAGUUCAUUCUGAUUAAUGAUGUUUCAAAUAUCCAAAAUCUUGCUAGUCUUUAGGGGUUGUGAGUAUCUGCAUCUCCAUCUAGGCUCUAGAUGCAGCACUAAGGUUUUGGUUCCUAUGAGUUCAAAUUUUGGCAGAAUGAUGGCUGCCUUGGGAAAAUCAUACCUUUCUAGCAAAAGUAAGUCAUUGUGCAAACCUACGUGUGAAAAAGUAAUAAUGCCUCUAGAAUAACUGAAGGGAAAAGAGAUAUUACUUAAUAGUAGAGUGAAGACAAUACUCUCCUCACCGUGGGUAAUUUGGGUAUUAGAUUCUGUCAUCCUUCAAGUAGGCAAGUGAUUGUUGAUGAUUUUGGAUAUCCUCCAACAAACAGAGAGUAAGUGGAGGGGAGUAGCUGCAAUGUACUACGGGACUAAAACAUAUGACUGCCAUUCUUUAGCAUUUUCUACAUCUUAAGUUAGUGGAGUAUGGAGAGUUUUUCUUCUUCUUCUUUUGGGUAAGUAGUGUAGUGGACUAUGGAGAGGAAUUAUUGAGGGAAAAUUGAGUUCUCCAAGUUCAAUAAUUUCAUGGUAGAAGCAAACUUUGAAUUUGGCUUAUCAACUCAGUGUCAAAGACUCUUCCGGUGGAUUCUCUCAAUUUUCAUUUUUAAUCAUCCCUCAAUGUGUGAAGUGAAAGACACGAAAAGUCCCCUUGCAAUAAGCUCUCAACACCAAGAAGUAUGUCCACAUGACAUGUUGGUGAUAGUAGAAAAUGGCAUGUGGUGAGCAAGGACAAAAGAAAUGCAUUGGAACCCCUUUACAUGUUCUGGUCAUUUUGGAUGGAAGAAAUAGAAAUGAUUUUAAUGCUAUUGAAAGUCUCAAUUGGGAAUCAAAGGGCUCCAUUUAUUUCUUAUCUAAAUACAUAAUGUUGAAAUGUCUAGAUGGACAGAUACGUGACAGCAUAGCUUUGUAAAUCGUAAGACCAUCUUUAGCAGCAUCGCCUUCUCCUUCUGAUUUCCAUACAUCUCAAUAUAGGAGUCGGUUUAAGGCACAUACUCCGAGCUACUCAAUUUAAAGUGCAAUAUGCCAUUGUUCCUUCCCACCUUUUAAGCUGGUUGGGAGUUUAUAAUAUUGGCUAAUUUCAAGUUUCAGCAUCAUCCUUUCUCUUGGAAUAUCCUAGGAUUGCAAAUUCCGUCGUCCUAUUUAUCUUUUUUAAUUAAGGUAAAUUAUUUUACUAAUAAUGGGAAAAUCUCUGGUAUAUAAGCAAUAAAUAUACCAAAAAGUAGAGAAUUUACAACAUUUGUUGUCCUAUUUAUCUUAGGGUCGCAGAGAUUUAAUUUACGCUAUGUUUGGUGAAAUAAUAAAAUCUUCAGAUAUCCAAAAACUAGCAAUUUCAGAAGAUAAAGCCGCAAAUUCCUUCCUCUUUUAAGAACCUGAUCUGUUUCCCAAUAACUGGAGAAUACUAGACACUGCCACUUCAGUGGAAGUAGUAGAUGAGAUAUCAUCACCGCGUCACUCAACAUCAGAGCAAUUAUUAACAGGCAAAAAGAAGAAACACAGAAUAUAAGCAUAAAAAACUCCACCUAGCAGCAACAUGUACAUCAAAAAUAGCUAACAUCAAGAUGUCCAUAGUAAAGCAAAAUUAAGGAACCAACUGUUUUACUCCAAUUUCAAUCUAGAACAAAGAUGUGAGCAAGAGAAAUUAUUUAACAUAUAUAGUUGCAAUAGCAGAGAUCAACUAACGAAAUUAUAAUAAUAUCUUACUUAACGACUCAGAUGUGAAGCUGAAGAGUAUUAUUCCUCACAACAGACUUAGAAAACUAAAAGUUUCAGAUUCAAACCCUUCAAUUACAUAACUUUAACAGUAAAAAGGAAAAUCAAACAAAAUAAGAGCUGAUCGCUACAAACAUCCAGUUAAACCUGCAAGGGAAUUACUUCUUUUUUUUCAUAGACCCAAUUUGUUAGAUAAUAAAUUACACAGAAACACAAUUACAAGAAGUACAAAACAUAUAUAUAUUGAUUAAACUGUUUAGAGAAAUAACUCGCCUCUUUUGCUCAAUUAUGCUUCGAGAAAUGCUGAAAUGGAGUUCGCUUUGUUUCCAGCAAAGUGGCGAUCGAGAUGAACAGUCGAAAAUCUGAGGAAUAACAAGAAGAAGAAGAAUACGGCUUUCCUUGGAGUAGAGCGAAGAAGAUCUCAAUGAGCUUUAGUUUAUUUGUUUAUAAUUUUCUCCGUUGUAGACCGAGAAGUUCAGAGUCAUGGAGUAAGGGACAACAAAGGAGAGGUUACAGGUUAGAUCCGCUCAUUUUUUAUGGGCCGGGUUGGCCUGUUUACCUGGUCUCUUCUUUUUCACCUCGGAAAGAAAUAGGCUUCUUUUGUUCAAAAAUAUAUUAUUAAUAAUAAUAUUGAAUAAUAUAAUAUAAAGCUAUAUAUAAACAAAAAAAGAUAUAAGAGAAAAUAUUUUAUUUAUUAUUUUUCUGCGUAUAUUACGGAAUGAGAAAUACCUUUUUAUACGGUAUAAAUUCACUGAAUGUUAUUUCUCCUUUAUGAGAGUGUUAAUAAGAUCUGUUAUACAAGUAUUAAUAUCAUAUAUGUAUAUCUAAAAAACAUUCAUUUCAAUUGUAUUGAAUAUAGUGAAUUCACCAACAAGGGUUGUGGUGGAGUGGUAAGUACUCCUUCAUUCUUAACUAAGACGUCUUGGGUUCGAGUCCCCUUGGGUAUCGAAUCGCCUUUGUUAGGGAGCGUUUUACCCCCAAUGUGGGACUUCUCGACGCUAAUAUGGAUUUAAUCGGGUUCCAAUGUGGGUACGAAUAUAGUGAAUUCAUAACACUAUUAUAACUUUACUAUGUUAAAUUCAAUGGAAAAAAGUAGUACAUAUAUCUUGUAAAAAACUUUGAGUGUUGCCUUAUUAAAUAUUUUAUUACAAAAAUUCAAUGGGACAAAUCCAUAAAUAAAGGAAAAAAGUAUGAUGCGUAUUUUACUUCUCCUUGAUGAAAGUUUUAAUUGAUUACUGAGAGUCGAUGCAUUUCAAUUUCAUAUUUUAAUUUCUUAAAUGUUGGUGUUGGCUAAAAAAAGGUUCAAUAUUAUUACUUGAACGGAUUUGUUGAACACCUAUCUCACCAUUUCGUUGAAGAUCAUGUAUACAAAAAAAUGGUGCAAUAUGAUUUAUUUGUUCUUCUUGAUAUUCUUUUUUUUAAUUGAGCUAUAAAGCAAUAUUUUUUUCAUACAGUCUUUUGUAAAUCUUUGUUUGCAUAGAAAGAUCACAUAAUUGCAAAAUAUGUUGAGUCAUUGAUCUAAACCAUACGCAAAAUCCGCUGACUUCAUAAAUGACUAUUAGAUUUGCAUUAUUUAAAGAAGUGACGACUAUUUAUUGUUUCAUCGAACAUCAUAACAUAAUUACACCUCCAUAUGUUAAUAGAUAACCUACUUGAGAUCUGAUUUUAUGUGGGUAGGCAAAUAUUUUGCAUGCAUAAUCGAUUAUUACACAAAAGGAAUUCCUUUCUUGUCCAAUACAAAAUUGAAUAUAAGAAAAUACUUUCCAGAAAAAACAAAAAAAACAAAAAAUUAUUUUUCUGGCUACGGAUUUAUGGAACCUGGCUUAUUUCUUACUUGGAUGCAUUAGAAUAAAAUAAUUUCAAAUUAAUUAUUGCUUGAAAAUAUCUAAAUAUGUGCUUAACACCUUUUUGGUGUGCUGCAAAAUAUAUAUCUGAUUAGAUCAUAUUAACAAAGCACAUUUGUUUCCAAUAGUACUGAUAUGUAAGAUUUUAUAACCAUUAGGUUCUUGAUCCUUUUAUUGAUAUUAAAAUAAAUUUUUAUUUUUCAAGCAAUCUCACAUUCAUUGAAAUACUUAAUAAGAUCGUUUUAAAACCUUUUAAAUUAUUCAAGGAUUUUUAUAUAAAUUUUAUUGUCUAUUUAAACUCGACAACAAUUUUAUCAUACACAUUCAAAUUUUCAUAUAUCACUAGACCAAAACAAAUCUCAUUGCAUUCACCACAUGAGAACACAUCCUUCAUAUAAUAAUGUCUGGAUUUUUAGUAAAAAAGUUUCCUAAGAUAUAAAUUGUAUUUUACAUUUUGUGAUUUUAUUUUUUUCACAAUAACCUAUUCCGACUUCAUUAGCAUCAUACCUAGUUGUUGAGACUUGAGUCCAAAAUUAUCAUUUUUUAUCAAAUGAAUAAAAUAUAUUGUCACAAUCCGACUUGUCUAUUUCAAUCAAGACAAGUCAGUCUCAACCAACGAAACGAAAAAAAAAUGUAAAAAGUAAAACAUGAAUAACGUAAAAGCGGACAACUUAUUCAUUAUAACAAUAACCCCAAAAUCUGAUUGUCACAUGUACAAACCACUAAUACAGACAAAAUUUAAAAGACAAUACAAGUCUCAAUGGCUUUGAUUCUAGAAAAGAAAAAAGCAUAAAUAAGGAACAAGAGGGCCCGCCGAAAUGACAAUCAACUACCUUUCAAAGUCCUUUGAUAGCCUCAGAAAUAGGUUAAGAAGAAGAAGAUCACACGAGUCCGGGCUCAGAACCUACACAAGUGUAGAAGCAAUGAGUGAGUAUAAAACAACACGAUACCCAGCGAGCAACCUACUAAACAAAGCAAAACUAGAUAGAAAUUGAGUAAUCCUUUCAUCCCAAUCGAAUCUCCUCAUACUACAACUUGCAUAGAAAUCAGCCCAACCUAACAGUUCUACAAUAUACAACUCACAAGGUUUAACAAUCAUAGUCCAGUAGUCACAGUUCAACAACCCACAAGUAUCAAGUAUGUCAAUCACAAGUAUUAAGUAGAUCACUCACAAGUAUCAAGUAGAUCAACCACAAGUAUCAAAUGCAUCAUUUUCCAGUAUCAAGUUCCUCAAAUCAUAGUAAUCAAAUACUUGCCGGAAUCAUUUUCCAUCAACACAAUAUCACUAGCCGAAAUCAUUUCCCAUCGAUUUUAUAUCAUAUUACUAGCUUGAACCAUUUUUCUUUUGCGUUAUAUCACAUCACUAGACGGAACCAUUUCUCUUUGGCUUUAUAUCAUAUCACUAGCCGGAACCAUUCCCCUUCGACUUUAUAUCAUAGCACUAGUUGGAACACUUUUUCUUCGGCUUUAUAUCAAAUCACUAGCCGAAACCAUUUUCUUUCGGCUUUAUACAACACAUGUCUCAUCUCAUAGCACAACAAUCAAAUGCAAAUAAGUCAUUUCUCACCAUAAGAAAUAGACAAUAAUUCAAGCAAUUCAAGGCAACAACAAUGACAUCAAGGUUUUUCAUCAAUCAACAAUUUAAGUCCACAACAAGCCAAUUCACAAAGCAUUAUGAUCAACACUGCCUUUUUCAUUAAUUUCCUCUUUUAUUCAUUAAGAUUAAUCAAGUGGAACAAAUGAAUCCACCACCUCAUUCCCAUUAUUCCCUAACACACAUAAUGAAUGGAAAAUACAUGAAUUUUACAAGUUUUAGAAAGUAUUUGCCUUAAUUCAAUCAGGGUUGUGGUGGAGUAGUAAUUACUCCUUCAUCCUUAACCAAGAGGUCUCGGGUUCGAGUCCCCUUGGGUAUGGAGUCACUUUGUUAGGGAGCGUUUUUUUACCAUGUCAGCACGAAUUCGAAUUUAGUCGAGCUCCAAUGUGGAUACCGUACACCGGGUGGGAAACCAAAAAAAAUCAAUCAAAGUCAAUUCAAGACUUGAGUCUUCCCCUUCCGAAUAAUAUCCAAAGCCUUACAAUCUAGUAACAACUUUCAAUUCAUACAUUUUGAAAAAAUUGGUCAAUCAACUCAAAAAUUCAAUUUCGAAAAGAAAGUUUGAAUCCGAAAACUUUUACUUGAAAAUAUUAUCUAAGGCAUUUGAAAUUCAUUGGUGAAAACCAUUUCGAAAAAGGAUUUAAAAUCAAUUCACAAUCACCAUUUCACUUUAGAACUCAAGUUCUUGAAAAACAUAACCAUUUGUCAAUCAAAAUCUCAAGUUUUGAUGUUAAAAUCCAUAAAUAAUUAAUGGGAAAUGAAGUUUUAGAAUUACAAAGGCUUACCCAAAUAAUUUAACGCAAGAAUACUCUUCAAAAGCGCCUCAAAGGAUUUUACUAAGCUCAAAAUGAAAAAUGAAAAAUGGGUAGAACCCCGAAAAUGGCAAGCAUAAACCCCUUUGAUGUCGCAAAAGCGAACCCCGAAUAAAAUUCGACCUUCGCAAAAGCGAACAGAUUUUCGCUAAAGCAAAGGUCGCGAUCGCAACAUACUCCAUCACGAUUGCGAAGGUCAAGGGAACUGACCUCUCGUGAACAUGAAAAAUGCUUCGCUGAAGCGAUGCUCGGUAAAGCAAGCCAUCCAUCGCUAAAGCGAAGCACAUAGACAUCAGAAAAUAUCAACCAAGUCUCAAAACAUCAAAUGGAUCCUCGGGAUUCGUUUGAAACACCAUACAUAUAAAUCAUAUAUGUGACUAUACUUGACGUUUCAAACUCAAUGAAAUCGGUAAAACACGAAUCUAAGAUCUCUUUGACCCGAAACUCGUGAAAGUCACAUGAAACAAACAUAACGCCUAAAAAAGCCAAAUCAAGCUCGGAACUUCUAAAUAUUCAAUCAAAACAUCAUCAAGGUCUAAAAUCAUCCCACGAAUCUAAUGGAACUCUUGAAAUUCUGAUUCGAGCAUCUGAACCUCAAAAGGACUCAGAAUCAGAAAUUGACAACACUCUUAGAUCUAAUUUUAUAUUUUUGGACGAAUAGAAUCAAUAGAAUCUCAUUCCGACACUCGAAACUCCAAAAGACUCCGAAAAUCACUUUUUAAUAACUUCAGCCUUUUGAAAUAAAAAACUUUCAAAAUUCACAACUUCCACUCAAAGUUCGAAAUCAACUUUCAAAACUCAAUCAGAAAUGACUAGGGAUCGAUAACGAGGAUUGGGGGGGGGGGUAAAAUGAUAAAUUUAUGAAAAUUUCCAAAAAUGACCUUCCGGGUCAUUACAUAUACGUAAAUCAUCUAUUUUAUCUGAUCAAUCAUUUAUCUGGCCGCAUUUAUCUUUGUUAUCAUUUAUAAUAUUGAGGGUUACAUUAUAUCAAAGAUGUCAUCGACGGUCAUUUGAUAUCGAUUUUAAUACAACAUAACUUAUUGAGAUUUCUUCAUUUUUCAUCAUUUUUAGGUACUUGAAUUAUGUGUAAUGUCGUGGUUCUCUUUUAAAGGACCUAUUUGCCCCUAAGAAUACUUGGGAAAAACUUGGGGAAAACUUGGGAAGUGGUGUUUGGUCAUAUAACUUGGCAAAUAUAUUUGCCAAGUUCCCAAUUACUAGAAAAAAACUGGUAUUUGGGCCAAGUUAUAAUAUUUGGGAAUUUUAAAAAAUUCAAAAGUUACCCCAAGCUUUAUAUUUUAUAUAAAAAAAAAUACUCAUUAUUUAUUAAUUCCAACUAAUAUUUGCUACUACCUACUCUGAAAAAGUUUGAGUUCUAAUUUGAGUGACAAAAUUGAGACAAAAGGAACAAUUUGUGUUUAAUGAAUUAUAAUUAUAACAGAAUCAGUGACAAGUUUGAGUAUGCGAUUAAUGUAUUGUCUUGUCAAUGUUGUUAUUGUUAAUUGUUAUCAAUUAUAUUAUAAGGUUAUUUUUUAAUAGAACAUAUUCAUUAUAAAAUGAUAAUACAAAUUUAUGGGUAUUUUAAUAGUUUUAAGAACUUAUAGAUAUAAAUCAUAUUUUUUAAAGUCAAAUAUUCUUAGAAAAACUUGGAGCCAAACACAUUGUGUAAUUUCAGCAAAAACUUGGCCCAAAUAUUAUUUGCCAAAAAUAUUUGAAAACUUAGGACCAAACACUAACAAAGUAUUUGCCUUAUUACCGAUGUCCCGAUCAUUUGCUCCUUUUCUUCUUCAAGUUAUUUUACUUUAUAACUGAUUCGUCUAUCACGUUUUGUCAUUCAAAGACUUUCACUGGAAUAUUUGUAGCAUAUAUAAUUUUCUCAUUAAUGCUCUGAAGAUGUAUUGUUUCUAUUAACACGUUUUUCAUUGAGCAUAUGUGUCUUUUCAUAAUAUCCAUUUUCAAUAAUGCUUGAAUAAUUAUCACUCAAUCAUGUAUCACCUCAAUUAUAUAAAAUUAUCAAUUCAACGAUAAACUUUGUAACAAGCUUUGCAGUAUCCUCUUCAUAAUAUGAAUAAUUUUUAUCUUAUAAACAAUUUUUGACUUUACUUUCAGAUACUCGAGAAGAUUAUUUAACUUAAAGUUUAUCUAUUAUUAAAGUAAUGAAGGUAAGUCUUACACCGUAUUUUGAUUGGCACAUCAAGAUUAUUUGAACUAAUUCACAAUUUAUUUAUUAUGUGACAGUCUUUCAAAAUGAAACACACACAUCGUCAAACACUUUAAAGGUAAUAAAACACACAAAAUAACAUAAAACAAUGAACGAGUUCCAUAUUGGUAUUCAACUUCACAUUUUCAAUUAUUUAUUCUCAAUUUGAAUAUUGGAUACUAAAAAUAUUAUAACUAUUUUCCAUACCAUCUAUUUUAAAAUACUCAAUUCAGAGCAGAUUAAACACUUGAUGAAAAUAACAAAAAGAUUCAUCUCAAGUAUAUAUACAUGAAAUUAACUACAAAAACAAUUCAUAGUCAUGUGUAAAACAUUUAAAAAUUCAAUAGUUUUUAAAAAAUUCAAAAAAUACAAAUAAGUUGAAUGCAAUUUAUAUACGCAUGAGAUUUCAUUGGGAAAAAGAAAUCUACUUCAAACAUUAUUUAAACAAGCACAAAAAAUAAGAAAAAAUAUCCUAAUUAGCAGUUCAAAAUUUAAUUAUAGGUCAAAAGAACAAUUUCAAACAAAAAUUUGUACAAAUAAUUCACUUCACAAACAUAUGUUACUCAUAUUGCCCAAUAUCAUUUUCAUUUGAAACAAACUCAACAUGAGAAAAAUGCAAAAAAUUAAUUGCGAUGUAAAAAUAUAUAUUAGAAGCUUAUAAAUUUAAUGCUAUUGAUCUUCAAAAUUGCUAAAAACAAACAUAUUUUGGCAAUGAACAAGCUAUCAUAUACAAAAAUUAGAAAGAGAAUAUAGAUUAUACAAAAGCUCAUUUUACUUGCAUUAACUUAGCACAAUAUAGUUGUAAGACGAUCAAAAAUGACAUAAAUAUCUUCUUAAAACCCGUUUAAAGUGAAAGCAAAUAAACAUGAAAAAGAAUUUUUGAAUAUUACUUAAAUAUCAUGUAUUUCUCUUUUUUCUUAUAUUUUUUUACUUAAAUAUCAUGUAUUCUCAAUUAUCUUUUACCUCUUUUAUGGAUUAAAUCUAUAAAUAACAAUCAUCUAUGAAAUUAUCAGAUGCUCAUUUUUAUUUUCUCCUUUUUUUUUAUUAGUCCAUAUCUUUUCCUUCUUUUUUUAAACUCUUUUCUUUCAUGUUUUUGUGGAUCAUAGAGAAAACAUAUAUAGAAAAGAUGAUGUGAUAAUAUGGUCAUAGAUUAAAAUCAAACAUAUGUUUUUCAGAAUUUAGUAUCAUAAUAGCCAAACAUAUAUCAAGACAAAGAAGGAAGUUCAAUAAUGUUGUAAAAGAUUUGUUAAAGAAAAAUGGUAAAAUUAAUUUGGUGCAAGUUAAUCAAAAUGAAGAAAAAAAAAAUUAAUAGCAGUAGAAGAUUCAUCUCGAUGGUCAAAUUAAUUUUAUAAAGAAUUUUUGAAAGAUUUACUUAUCUGUGUGUAUAGAUACACUUUUUGUUGCUUAUUUUAGUAUUUUCAGUUGGUUGUUUUUUCAAAUAUAAGACUAGGGGUGUACAAAAUCGAAUCGAAAAUCGAAUCAAAUCGCAAACUGAGUCAAACCGGAAAAAAACCCGACUAGUGGUUUGGUUUGACUUGGUUUGGUAUUGGAAAAAAAAACCCGACUAUAUUUGGAUUGGUUUGGUUUCAACUAAAAUAAACCAAACCAACCCGACAUUAUAUAUAUAAUUUNNNNNNNNNNNNNNNNNNNNNNNNNNNNNNNNNNNNNNNNNNNNNNNNNNNNNNNNNNNNNNNNNNNNNNNNNNNNNNNNNNNNNNNNNNNNNNNNNNNNNNNNNNNNNNNNNNNNNNNNNNNNNNNNNNNNNNNNNNNNNNNNNNNNNNNNNNNNNNNNNNNNNNNNNNNNNNNNNNNNNNNNNNNNNNNNNNNNNNNNNNNNNNNNNNNNNNNNNNNNNNNNNNNNNNNNNNNNNNNNNNNNNNNNNNNNNNNNNNNNNNNNNNNNNNNNNNNNNNNNNNNNNNNNNNNNNNNNNNNNNNNNNNNNNNNNNNNNNNNNNNNNNNNNNNNNNNNNNNNNNNNNNNNNNNNNNNNNNNNNNNNNNNNNNNNNNNNNNNNNNNNNNNUUAAACUUAAUUUUAGCAUGAUUUAGUACUUUUAAAUUAUGAUCUUUUUCAUUAUGACUUAUUAAUUUGCAAUAUUUGUUUUACGCGAUUUCAUUAUUAUUAUUUUUGUUGGAUAUUUUAGUGUCAUUAAUCAUAUCAUAUUUUGUGUUUUUUUCUUAAGAAACACUUAGAUAGUUGUAUUUUGGUAGGACUAAAGAAAUAUUUGAAGUACAAGUAAAUUAUAUGUUUGUACGAAUACUUUACCGGAAAAACUCGAAAAAACCCGAAAAUCCAAAAAAACCCAAGGUUGAAAAACCCGAGUUUUAUUGGUUUGAUUUGGUUUAUAAAUUCAAAAAUCCGACGCAAAUAGUUUGGUUUGAUAUUUGAAAAACUCGAACCAACCCGACCAUGUACACCCCUAUAAGACAUGCACCUCGUAAGAACAAGGCUUUAUUAUAAAAUUUUAACUUAAUAUUUUAUGCAUUUAUUGUUUGUAAAUAAAUUACCAUAAAUUUAUAAGGACUUGAAUGAAAGUUGGAUUACCAAUCCUGAAUGCCUCACAAAAUUGAGUUUCAAGUUUUUAUGUUUUUUAGGGGCUAAGAUGGUCAUUUAACUUUGAAUAGUUUACUUAGAAAGUCACUUAGCUUAAAGUAGUUCACUUAAAAAGUCAUUUAACUUUGUUUUAAACUCAAAAAUUACUUAACUAUUGCUAUUUCACUUAGAAAGUCACUCAAUUAUUGAUAUUUUACGUAGAAAGUCACCCAACUAAUUUAAAUAAUUUUUUAAUUAAUUUUUUUAUUGAAAUACAAUUUUUGUUUUAAACUUAUUUCUAAAAAAAAUAAAAUAAGUUGCUCAUUUUAAUUAUUUUAUUAAAUUUUGUUGAAAUGCAUUUUUUGUUAUGAACUGUUUUUAAAAAACAGUUACGAUUGCUACUGCGCGAUGGAUUACUUCUCGAUUCCAACUUUUUUUAAAAAAUAAUAAUCAUAUUUCAGCAUAUUUAGUUUCAGUUAGACAAUUGCUAAAACGGAAAAGGGAAUUCUUUUUGACAUUUGCUACUGUACAUUUUUUCAAAAAAAAUAUAAUUAAAUAAUUGGAGGGAUCGAUAAAAUAAUUAAAAUAUAUUAUUUUUUUUGAAACAUAGUUUAAAUAAAAAUUAGAUUUCAACAAAAUUUAAUUAAAAAAAAUAUUCAAAUUGAUUGGGUGACUUUCUAAGUGAAAUAUUAAUAGUUGAGUGACUUUUUAAGUGAACUAUUCAAAGUUGAGUGACCAUUUGAGAUAUUAUCUCCCUGAUAAUUGGAAUUGGUGUAAUUACUAGGGUAGUAAUUACACAUCUUAGUAAUUACACUGGCAUGUUUGUUUGACACAAUGUAAUUAUACAUGUGCUAUUUGGAUGCACAAUUGUCAUCACAAGAUUAUAUUAAAUUUUAAAAAUAAAAGUUAAUUAUUUAAAAUUUAUAUUAGACAAAUAAACAACUUUAUAAAUGAUAUUAACUGAAAUAUUUAAGAUAUAUAUUGUCUUUUUAAAAUAUAUUACUAAUAAACAUAUGUUCUUAACUAAUAUUAUGAAGAAAAAAAAUUGAUUUGUAUUUUUCAAAUUAGUAUAUUUCAAUUGAACUAAUCAUAAAAACUAAAAGUACAAGAUUUCUAUGAACAUCAUGAAAUGCAUGUUUGACAAAAAGAUUAAUAUUAUAAAUAAAAUGUCAUAAACUAUUAAAAACAUUUGUCAAAAAGAUAAUCUAUAAAGUCUGACUAAAAAAUUAAUGACUUGCAAUGUGAAGUCUCAAGUCAAUACUACUAUACUAAAAUAAGUGAAACUGAAAAUAUAACAUUAGUUCUAAAUUCCAAACAAAAUAGUCUUAUGUCAAAUUUCAACAUAACAUACAUAAAUAUGAUUUAAAAGAAAAGGAAAACCUAAGUCUACAACCUUACUCAACAAUGAAUUAUAUUUUAAUUGAAAAAUUAGAAUACUAUCAAAAUUAUGCCCAUAAAAAAUAAGUAUGACAUAAAAAAUAGAUAAUACGAAAAAUUGCAUGGAAUCACAUGAAGUAAAGGUUGAGAAUGAGAAGUAAAUGAAAUAUAAAAAAAGAAAAAAGAAACUUUUAGAAUUUUUUAGAAUAAUAAAAAUAAAAAAAGAAUUUAAAAUAAUAGAAAUAAAAAAUAAAUAAAAAACAAACAAGUAAAAAUAGAAAUAAAAAGAAGAAAUUGAAAAAUUAUGAACUUGUAAUUACAUCAUGUAAUUACCAGCAAUUCACAGCCCCUCCCUGGAAAUUGGAGAGUGCAAUUACACCCAAUCACCUGUUAACCAAGUAAUUACAUGUCCAACCAAUCAAGCUAGACAAUGUAAUUACACUAAAUCCAAUAACCAAGGUGGCUUUCCAAACAGACCCGUAGCGUUUUCUUGAAAUCUAUGUAAUAUAAGCAUAAAUAAAGUGAUACAACACCUUACUAUGGAUUCUAUUUAUCUUUUUUCUAUUAAUUUUUUUUAUCUCCAUUUUUUUUCAAUUAUUUUAUAACUCACAACUUUUCAACUUCAUAUAUAUAAAUUCUACUUUAAUUAGUAUUAAUAUGCUAUUCUUUUAAUUACUACUAUCUUUCAAGCCUUUUAUGUUCAUAACCCAAAUGAUUUUUUUCAAUCUUUUCUAGCAUUUCAUUCACUGUGUUUAGUAAUGUAAAUUAAAAGGACAACUUAUUCAAUUUGUGGAGACCAAUUAUAUUCGAAGCAGUAUUCUAAUAUGCAUAAGUUGGUGAAUAUGAAGAAAGAAAGGACGAUUAUUCAAAAUUUUAAAGUACAAAGUCUUUAAUUAUAAUAAAUUUCAUUAAAUAUUUGAUUUGUAUGUUAUAAAAAUGAAAAGCUGCAAUUUAUAAAGGUUAAAUAUCUCUCUCUCUAUAUAUUCUCUUAUUAUAUAAGUGGGAGUUGAAGCUACCCAUUAACUUGACAUAUGGAAUUACUAGAUCCCACACACACACACAUAUAUAUAUAUAUAUUUAUUUUUUAUUUUUUUAUUUUUUGUUCUACUAUAUAAUAAAAGGAAGUUUAGGCCCAAGUAUAAUAUAUAAUAUUUAAGAUUGGACUUUUCCAUUUGUGACAUAUAUAUAUAUAUAUAUAUAUUAUAAAUCACAAUAAUUAAUAACUUAAAACAUUUUAUUUUUUAAAAUGAAAAUUUGGAUUACUCUCCAAAUUUUAUUUGUGUCACAUAAAUUGACACAACAAAAAUAGCAUAUAUUGGGUCCAUUUUAAUUUAUUUGUCUUUUUUUUUACUGUUUUUUAUAUUUAAAAAUUGCGUAAAAAUACUAUAAAUCAUGAUAAUUGACAACAUAAAAUAUGUUUUCAAAAAAAUACAAAAAANNNNNNNNNNNNNNNNNNNNNNNNNNNNNNNNNNNNNNNNNNNNNNNNNNNNNNNNNNNNNNNNNNNNNNNNNNNNNNNNNNNNNNNNNNNNNNNNNNNNNNNNNNNNNNNNNNNNNNNNNNNNNNNNNNNNNNNNNNNNNNNNNNNNNNNNNNNNNNNNNNNNNNNNNNNNNNNNNNNNNNNNNNNNNNNNNNNNNNNNNNNNNNNNNNNNNNNNNNNNNNNNNNNNNNNNNNNNNNNNNNNNNNNNNNNNNNNNNNNNNNNNNNNNNNNNNNNNNNNNNNNNNNNNNNNNNNNNNNNNNNNNNNNNNNNNNNNNNNNNNNNNNNNNNNNNNNNNNNNNNNNNNNNNNNNNNNNNNNNNNNNNNNNNNNNNNNNNNNNNNNNNNNNNNNNNNNNNNNNNNNNNNNNNNNNNNNNNNNNNNNNNNNNNNNNNNNNNAUAUUAAGUAUUUAAAAAUUACGUACAACCAUAUUGCUUUCUGUAGGCUUCAAAUUAUCGUGGUCAUUUUUUAGGCUGAUACAAGUUUUGUACAUUUUCUAUUUAAUUUUUAAAAUUUUUUAUAAAUCACAAUAAUUAAUAAUUUAAAAUAUUUAAAAUUAUAUAUUAAAAAUUGAGUUGGUUUCGAGAAUUUUAUUUAUAUUAUAUAAAAUGGGACAAAGGAAGCAACAUAUAUCAUUUACAAAUGACUUAAAAAACAUUAAAAAUUACAAUAAUUACCAAUUUAAAAUAUUUAAAAGCUAUAUAAUAAAAUAGGUUNNNNNNNNNNNNNNNNNNNNNNNNNNNNNNNNNNNNNNNNNNNNNNNNNNNNNNNNNNNNNNNNNNNNNNNNNNNNNNNNNNNNNNNNNNNNNNNNNNNNNNNNNNNNNNNNNNNNNNNNNNNNNNNNNNNNNNNNNNNNNNNNNNNNNNNNNNNNNNNNNNNNNNNNNNNNNNNNNNNNNNNNNNNNNNNNNNNNNNNNNNNNNNNNNNNNNNNNNNNNNNNNNNNNNNNNNNNNNNNNNNNNNNNNNNNNNNNNNNNNNNNNNNNNNNNNNNNNNNNNNNNNNNNNNNNNNNNNNNNNNNNNNNNNNNNNNNNNNNNNNNNNNNNNNNNNNNNNNNNNNNNNNNNNNNNNNNNNNNNNNNNAUGACUCUCCAAAUUUUAUUUGUGUCACAUAAAUUGAGACAACAAAAAUAACAUAUAUUGGGUCCAUUUUUCUUAUUUUUUUUAGUGUUUUUUAUAUUUAAAAAUUGUGUAAAAAUCCUAUAAAUCAUUGAUAAUUGACAACAUAAAAUAUGUUUUCAAAAAAAUACAAAAAAAUCCACUGAUCCUUGCAGUGAAUCUAUCGUAAAAAUACUAUAAAUCAUGAUAAUUGACAACAUAAAAUAUUUCAAAAAUGUUAUAUGUGGGUAAUCUUAUUAUGCCUUAAAUAGCGUCAAAGAAAGUACAGGUUUGUGAUAAAAAAAACUUAUUUUUUUAUCCACGCAAACAAUCACUUUAAAAAUUUCGUUAUUAACCCCAAAACAUACCAUUUAUAUUAUUGGGCCCGUGCAUAGUACGGGCAACAUUAUCUAGUAUAUAUAUAAAGGAGGAACAUAGAUAAGGUGAUGUGGCACCUUUCUAUGGCCUCUAUUCAUAUAUAUCUUUUUUUCUCUUUUUGGGAAUUUUUAAUGUCUAAAUAUUUUAAUUAAUGUUUUAUUCUUUAUGUAUAAUCACUUGUAAUUAAUUUAUUGGUAAAAACAAUCAACCCUCCCUCUCCCCCCACGUCUAAGAUCAUGAUCAAUUCUUCAACUUUUCAUCUUCUCUUUUAAUUAUUAUUUAUACUCUUUUAUGACAUUAAAUGAUUUUUUUUUCUCAAAAGCAAUUGUGGAGAUGAAAUCAUUAUCUCCUUUCAUAGUUACUAUAAAUCUCUAACUAUUUAUGUCAUGGAGAAAUAUUUUUUGUUCACCAAUUGCUUCCCUUAUGAUGGGACUGCUUAGGCAGUUUUCAGGUACCAUUUUAUUUUAUUUAUUUUUGUUUACAAAUAUUAAUAUUAUGUAAGAUUUUAAUAAUGAUAUUUUGUAUCAUACUUUCAUCAUUAUUAUUUUAGAUGACUAUUUUUUGUAUCACAAUUUCAUCAUUAUCAUUUAGAUGACUUAUUUUUCAAUUGGUUUGCUAUUUUAUAGAUUCUUGAAUUUAUUUGGAAUAAAAUAUUAUAUUUGUAUAAUUGUGUUUUGUCAUUUUAUCAUGUUUUCUUAUUGUAUUGCUUCAUUCUUGUGUUUAUUUUUAUCCUAAUAUUGUUGUUUUAUUUAAAUUUUGAUUUCUCAAUUGAUGAAUUAAAUUUCAAUCAUCUCAGGCUAUUUUCACAUUAAUGUAUAGAAUAUCAUAUUUUCUAAUUUAUAUUAUAUUAUGUGGUGGAUUAUCACAAUACGCAUUAUUCUACUUCUUAUAUUAAUGUGGAUUUAUGGGUGAGUACAAAAAAUUGAUGAUUAUUUAUAGAGUAAUAACCCAUUUUUCCUAUUGACAUUUUAGUAGCUUUAGAUAAUUAUAAAGGUCAUGCACAAUUUUUCUUGAUAUUUUGUUUGUUUACAACUUAUUCUUACUUCUCUUUUAAUAUCAUUCUUUAUUUAGAUUUCAAUUUCUCAAUUCAUAAGCUAAUUGAAAUUCUUCUUGAUUUUUUUUUUAAAUUAACCUACAUUCAAACAUUUUACCUUAUCUAAUUUUAGAUCAUUUUGUGGGAUUUGUCAAAAUAUGUGCUAUUGAACUUUCCUAUUAAUGUGAAAUGAUAAGACAUAAGUUAAAAAAAAUCAUCCUCUAAUAACUCAUUUUUAUUAUUGAUAAUUUAUAUAUAUGGUAAAGUUAGAUAUAGAAUAGGUAAGGUGAGACAUCACUUGGGUCAUGAUUCAUAAUUUGAGUUUGGAGCCAAAAGGGAAAAAAAAAUUGCCAAAAAUUUCAAAAGGGUACAUCAAUUAUUUUUUAACCAAAAGGGCAAAAUCUCUCUUGACGGAGCGAUUUCCUUCUGACAAAAUUGACGCCGUUACUUCGUUAAAAAACAUAAAAAUCGCUGUUCCAGCAGCGAUUUUGUCAAAUUUUUUAUUUUUUAACAUUCCUGCCCCUGUAACGUUUUUCUAAAAAAACUUUUUAAAAUUGAAAUCGCUGCUAUAGUAGCAAUUUUCUUUAAAAAAUUAUUUUUUUAAAAUCGCUUGCAAGGCAGCGAUUUCAUUCAAUUUUUGCAUUUUAAAUAUAUUGCUGCCUUGAAAUGUUUUGUACUGCCAUUUGCUUAAAUGAUUAAUAGUGAUUGUACAUGCUUGGUUUUAGCUUAAUUUUUUAAAUAUUUUUCUAUUGAUUUUGAAAUUUAAUGAAAUCGCUGCCCGGCAAGUGAUUUUUUAAUAUAAAAAAAAUCAACUUUUUAAAGAAAAUCGCUACUAUAGCAGCUAUUUCAAUUACAUUUUUUUUUGACAAAAUCGCUGCCACAGCAGCGAUUUUAAAGAAUUAAGAUUUUUUUUUGGACGAAAUCGUUGUUGGGGCAGCGAUUUUAUGUGGAGUAACGAAGUCAAUUUUGUUAGAAGGAAAUCGCUCCGUCAGGAGCGAUUUUGCCCUUUUGGUUAAACAAAUAAUUGAUGUGCCCUUUUGAAAUUUUUGACAAUUUUUUUGCCCUUUUGGCUCCGGACUCUUCAUAAUUUCAUAUUCAUCUAUUUUUUCAAUUCUUUUCCUUUUCUUAUUUAAAUCUCUAGAAUUUUUUUAAUCUUUAACAUAGUUUUUAAAAAAAAAAUUAUGUUACAAAUUAUUCCUUACAAGUUUUAAAUAACACUAAAGUUUAUAUCCAUAAUGACUUGAGCUUUUUUCGGUUUAGUUUUUUUAUUUCUCUUUUAUCUUAUUUAUUUAUUUUAUCCUUUUUAGGUGCUUAUACGACCUUACAAAUUAACCAUAUAACAAGAAAAACUAGGUUUAUUUUAAAAAAGAUGGAAGAAGUCUUAACAGUUUCUUCUACAACUAGCUGUUAUUAAAUUGAAAUUUAUCCUUUCUUAAUUCUGAAUUAAUAUUAUGUCCUAAUGAUUCUUGAAUAUGCUUUAUUUUUAGAGCAACUUUCACAUAUAGCAAACAUAAAAAUCAUAUUUGUAUGCUAUAGCUAUAGUUUGCAUAAUUGCACUCCAUAGCAAACUUUAUGUUUGCUAUGACUAUUAAUAUGUAUAUUUCGCUAUACAUAUACAAAAGAAAGCAAUUGUAUAAUCUGUUUCGGUAUACAUAUACAAAAGAAUCAAUUGUAUAAUCUGUUUCGGUAUACAUAUACAAAAGAAUCAAUUGUAUAAUCUGUUUCGGUAUACAUAUACAAAAGAAUCAAUUGUAUAAUAAGAAAGCAGUUGUAUAAUCUGUUUCGGUAUACAUAUACAAAAGAAUCAAUUGAAUAAUAUGUAUUUGUAUAAAGCGAGAAAGAGAGAAAGACAAAACAAAACUGGGCAGGAGAAAAUCGUAUUUGUAUAAUCAUAAGUGUAUAGGACGAAAAUAUAUGCAUUUGUAUUUGUAUAUACAAUUUUCUCUCGCUUUAUACAAGCACAAACACAAUGUAUACAUUUGUGUUUGUAUAAAGUGAGAGAGGCGAGUGAGAGUGGCGAGCGAGAUUUGGGAGAGGGGAACGAAAAUAUAUGUAUAUAUACAAUUUUCUCUCGCUUUAUACAAAUAGAAACACAUUUUAUACAUUUGUGUUUGUAUAAAAACGAGAGAGGCAAGGGAGACUGCCCAACGAGAAUGAGAGUGGCGAGAGAGAUUCACCAGGGAGAGAGGCAAAAUAGCAACAGUUUGCUAUGGGGUACAAUUAAAUCAAACUAUGGUUAUAACAUUUAAUUUGAAUUAAUAGUUUGCUAUUAUAUACAAUUUUUCCUUAUUUUUACUACUUUCAUUCUUUAACAGAAAUAUUUAUAUAUUAUAAUGAUUCAUGAUAUUAUAAAUUAGGCAUGCAAAAGUAACUAAAUUAAUUAAUCAAAUAUUGUCAUAUGGUUUACAAAUUGGGAAGAGUAGUUCACACUACUAAUCAUUUAUAUAUAUUAUUCUUCAUAUUAUUGUUUUUCUUUUGUUCAAUGGUGUGGUUUCUAAAAAUGUGUCAAUAUGAUAAUAAAACUUAAAAUCAUUUGAAUAUAAUGCUCCAGAGAGUCAUUUAGAAGAAAUUUGGAAAGAGGAGAAUGACUAUAUAGUUUUUUCACAUUUAUAAUGGUUUGUCACUAAUAUUGACUUUGUUUUCUAUACACAUGCUUAUGUUGUUGAUUAAUUGUAGUUUGAUGACUUUUCUUCAUAAUAUAUGAUAGAAAAACAUUGUAAAAAAAUAUCUUAUAUAUAGGAUCUUAAUAUUUUUCUUUUAUUUAAGACAAUUUUCCAAAGGCAGAGGUUCCGAGGCUAUUAAUCGUGUAUUUUUUAAUUUAAAUUUUAGUAUUUUUCUUCAACAAGAUCAUUAACAAUUGCAUUUGCAUCAGAAAAUGACAUAUUAUAAGCACUUAUUUUAUUUAUCACUUAAAAGUGUAUAUUUUAAUUAAAUUCUUACCUGAUAACUAAGUGAUUUUUAUACUUAUUACUAUAUCAUAACUCUAGGAAAGAACACAACUAAAUGGAUAAAAUCAUAUUAUCGUUCAAUUAUUACUACUUAAAUAUAAAAGAAUAGGAAUGGUGUAUUUAAAUUGUGCUAAUCUAAGGAAUUGUUUCCUUUUUCGAUGAAGCUAAUAUCUCACGAAGAAAUUUAAAAUAUAGUUAAAGUGAGUUAUAAUUUAAUAUUUAAUUUAUUUGAAUGUGAAUAUAGAAAUUAAAAAACUAUUAAAAAAAUCAUGAAUCUAAUAUUAUGUCGCACCGCACGAAGCGCGGCCAUAUUUACUAGUAUGUUAUAACUUGUGAUUGUUUGAUUGUCACGCGUUGUAUCCAUGUGAAUCCUCACAACUCAAAUGAUAAAAAUUUCAUUAGAGAAGGAAAGAAGAUAGUCAUUGCAACAGAUUCUCAAAUAUGUUGCUUUAUGAUAAUUAAUUUAAAGAUGAUCAUAUAUCAUAGAGAAAAUACAUUAAAAAAAUCCCUAAACUUGACACGAUAACUUAUACUUUAGUACUUAAAUUAUCCGGGCGUAUAAAUAUCCCCUUAACAUCUUUGAAGUGAAUUUAAUCCCACCCUAACAGUACAAUACCAGUCUCACACUGGGAAGUGCCCUACACACACGCCUCAUCAGGGCCACAUCAACGCCACAUCAGAUCCACAUAAGAAAUAAUAUUUAAAAUAUAAAAAAAAGGAAAAUCAAAUUUAAUUUGGAAUUAUACUAAAUAUAAUUUUUUCUUGUUUUUUUCCUUUUUAAUUAUUCUUAGUUUUUUUUUAUUAAUUAUAGUUUCAUAAAUUAAUCUCUAAUUAAUUAUUAAAAUCCCCUAAAUAACUGAAUUUUCCCCAUUGUUGUCCUCAAGUUCACCACCUUCUCAUUUUCAAAGAGAAAUCCGAACAACCUUUGCAACUCUAAGCUAUAACAAUAAAAAAAAUUCAACUUUUCUUAUUACAUGAACUAACAACAAAGUCUAUAAAAAAAAUUCUUCAAUUCCAAUAUCAGCUACUCCUCAACCCCCUCUUUUGAAGAUCGAAUAUUAGUUUUUUUGUAAGUUGGGUGAAGAUUUUAUGAUCUAUUUUUUGUUGACUUCUUUAACGGAUGAUUUGACACUUUCUUGAUGUCGAAAAUAAGUUGCCGAAAAUCGUGUCGAAGAACUGAACAUCAAGUUUCUUGUCAAAGAAGAACACAAAAACAAAGAAAAGAUUAAAAAAGAGAAAUGAAAAGAAAAAUAUUGACAUUUGGAAAAAAUCCUCUGUUGUAACUUGGUGUGAUGGACUGAAAAAGAAGAAAGAAAGAGGAAGGUAGAAAAAAGUAGGAAAAAAAUAGGAUAAAAGAAAGAGAAAUUUUGAAUUAAAAAGAAAAUAUUUUUUAGAAAUAGUAAAAUAUGGAGUAAUUAAUUAAUUUUGUCAUCAUAUGAGAAGAUGACACGUGCAUAGUUUGAAACAACUUUUUGUUUUUUUUCCAUCUUCACACGCCUAUAGAAAAUUGAUGAUACAAAUCUUGCCACAUCAUAUUUUAGGGGGUAAUUUAAUUCAACUGGAACUACAUUAGGGGGUAAAAAAACGUCCGUAAAGUUGCAUUGCUAAACUAAGUUAUGCAGACAAGUUUGGGGGGAAUUUUAUGUACUUUCCCUAUAUCAUAUAAUUAACAACUUUAAAAUUGAAAAUGAAAAAUACUUACCAUCCAAGUAACUCUCUCUCGUCACUCUGUUACAUUUUAGAGUGACAUUUUAGUUAUAGAGUGCUUUUCCAAAAGUAUCCUAAUCCAACUUGGCCAUAGUGUCUGCAAAGGGCAUUCUUCUUUUUCAAGUACAGCACAAAUGAGCUUAAGCCUAAUUUUAUCCUUUUUGUACCUAACAACACAAGAAUAAGAAAAUUAAUGUAGCAAGAAUUAGAAAUUUAAUUCUCACCACCUUCCUAAUUGGCUAGCUAUUAACAUUUUCUCAAAUCUUCUUUCAAAAGGGACUUCAUACUUUCUUAGCACUCGUUCUUUUUUCCUUAUAUUUAUGUUAAUAAUUACGUUGUACCUCAAUAAAUUCGCUCAACACCUACUACCUCACACUAAAAUAAAUAUGGGUCAUAUAAAAAAAAAUAUCACCUAACAAUAAUCUUUAUUUCUACGGACAUUUGAACCAUUUUUUCACUUCAUUGACCAUUAAGCACACAAUUGGGUGCAAGACAUUCUUCAUUAUCUUGCAUUGAUAGUCUUUUCUUUGAAAAAAUAAUAUCCUCUUGGAGCCUAUGUCAAAGUUUCACAUAGUUUCGAACUCUCUUUUUAUGACUAACUAUUAACAAAUCGUAGCAGUAAGGGCCUCCUAACAUGUGAUGGAGUGUUACGUAUUCUUUCAUCCUUCAUCUUCAACCAAAAAUCUCAAAUUCGAGUCUCCCUUGUUACCCGACAGCAGGUGGAAAACAAAAAAAGGAAUAACGAAAAAUAACAGGUCAAAUAUCACUCAAUUAAAAUCAAUCCAUUUCAACAGUUCAGCUUCAGCAAGUCUGUCCAGUCGUUAACUUGUAUUAACAUGUGACAACCAAAAAUAUAUAUAAAAAUUUAUCAGUACUCACACCAAACUAGCUAAUAUGUAACAUGUUAUUUUCAUAGAAUCCUUCAUCAGUAACCAUGACCUAUUGACGAAUUCAUCAAAACAUGCAGUAACUUUGAAAAAUAUGACAAGCACCAUUAAUAUUUUUUUAAGAGUCCAAGCAACAUAGACGGUCGAAUAAUGGGAAGGAAGACCCCAACCAAAGCACAGAUGAUGGCCGACAGUUUCAUGCAGAUGUUGAAGUAGAAUAUAAGCUCUCCACAAGACAACACUAUUAUAUUGUAUAGAAAAAUGAUUUUUUCAUUUUGCAUUGAAGUUAGUGCAGUGUGAGGGCAUGAGGGUUGGAGUAGAGUUGGAGAAGGGGACCACUCAACCUUUUACUUGAACCUUCACCUUCACCUUCACCAAUCAAAUGAAGCACAAACCCAAUGGAAUACUAUUCUCAACAUUAGCCACAAAAUUCUUCUGGGCAACCUGUUAUCUUAUUAUUUUUUUUAAAAAUAUCUGUUACAAAUGAGAAAUGCCAUUAUUAAACAGGACAUAAGAAAUCAAAUGAAUACCACCACUAACUGCAGCUUUUUACUCCUCCCAGAGCCUGAAUAUUUGCUCCCGGGCCCUAGUGACUCAAACUCACAACUGGUUAGAGGUGGUAGGUCAAAGGUGGAGAGUGCCCUCACAUUUCUUCCUCAAAAGGCAAUAUGACAGGGCAAUGAAUCAUUCAUAAGCAAAUAGGUUCAAAACUCAGCAGAGAAAAAAAAACACUAGAUGAUUCUUCCCAUUACCUGAUACCUGUUGUUGAUAGGACAUGGUAGGUAUUACGUGGACUUAAUUGAGGUGCACGAAAGCUAGCCUGAACACCACGGUCAUAAAAAUAAAUUAAUUAAAAGAACACCAACUAGGCUUGGCUUCUUGUGGGAAGAGGAGGGAUCAAUAAUGCAUCAUCAUAUUAUAAUAGAGAGAUGCAAAUGAAUAAAAAAAAUGAAGGCAUGAAGAUUGCAUGUAAAAAGGGGCAGGGGACCACCCUACAGACAGAAUCUAUUGGUACUUCCUAGACAAAUAAUGCCAGACACAACCUUAUAAUACACUAUAUAUAAAAAUUAUAAUGAUGGAAAAUUAUCUCAAAACUAAAGCUAAUUUCCUAAAUCAGGAUUUAAACCACGAGGUCCCCCCCUCCAUAAUUGGCAAAAUCAAUUGGUACCAGUCAUAUUGUAUAUAGCAUGACCUAGCCAUUUACAAAUAAAUUAAUAUAGUACUAAGUGUUGAAGGAAAGGGACUAAAGCAUUUCAUUAAUGCAAAAAAUAUAACAUAAAAAUUGUACUUGCCACAAGCUACUUGCCAUAUAAAAAAUUGAACCAAUGUAUAUCAAUGAGGUCAUCCUCAUUGCCCUAGAAAAAGGGAGAAAACAUGGUGCUCAUCACGUUUUGCUGUCUUCACAGCCAUGCAAAUAUAUUUCAAAAAUUUAAAGCCAAGAAACACAUCUACUUCAAACUUCAACUGAUAUAUGUGUUGCAAAAGAAAGAAAUAUAUCAAUUCGUAAAUACUAAUUCCCCAAAACAGAUUUCAAGUAUGAAGUUACAGUUCGCAAGAGCCAUGUAAAACAUCUCUCGAAAAAGUCUUAAUUUGUGCCAUAGGUAUGUGUGACAUCAAGCAUAUCUCUGUAGAGGAAAAAGGAGAUUCCUAUAGCAAGUAAGUAGGUGGAUCUGUGUUGCAUUCCUCAUCAGUUUAGACAGAACAUGUAAAACAUAUUGCAAGGAGCGGAUAUAAUGUUACAGCAAACAAAUGAUUAUAGAUGUUCGGAAUAACUGUAUAAGACAUGAAACUAUAGCCAUAUGAAGAUUCUAACAAUUGGGAUUAACCGAUGGUGGUAGAGACCAGGACGAACAGACAACUGCCUAGUGAUCGAAAUGGCUACACAGAACUCUUGGAAUCAUAUGACGAAGUAGAUUUCUAAAGCAUAUACAUGUACUACAAACAAGAUGCUAGAGAAAACUAUUGACUGAUUCAAACAGAAGUGAUUGAGUGCUUAAAAUUGUCCAGACAACUGAAAGAUCUUAUCCUGGAAAUCACCACAAUACGUUAAACAGAAUUAUUAUUGAAAAUUAGGUUUUGAAAAUGAAGAGAAUGGGAAAAAGGAGCUCCCUUCAGUCCAAGCAAGGAAAGAGAGGGAUAGAAAACUAUCUCCCGCAUCAUUCACUCAAUCACAGUAGCACAAAACCUAUCCUUUCUACUGAGCGGUUGGAUGAAUGAGUCGGCAGCUAAUUCAACCCCAUUUCUCCUCCUUGAGUGGGCUGAAGGAAGCUCUCUUGGACCAUUCCUCAAUUCACAAAACUUUUUACAAUUAACUUCUUCAACUGAACAGCCUUAGUAAAUCAUCAAAUCAUACAUUUUUGAUAAGAAUAUAUGAGAUUCCGAGGAAUAAAUAUACUAACCUCAAUCUACCAAUAUUACCUUUCCACAGCUUACAUUCAACUCCCCCAAAAAAAUUAGGAUAUGUAACCAGUCAGUAAUAGUUCACAACAGUUCACCAUUAUAUCUCAGAAUCAAAUUGCAGAGAGUAAAGGCAGCCUAAAAUGAAAUACGAAUACAAUAGACACAACCAAAAUCAUAGCUCAAGGGUACAUCUAUUUUAAUUUUUUGUGAAAGAAAAAGCCCCUUGUCCCCUCAUCUCUUUAAGAAAAAAAAAAACUUUUAUGGUCACUGUUGAUAGCAUACCAAAGUCUCAUCUGAAACCUGAGAAAGAUAGAUACUUUUUAUUUGACAAACAAAAAUUAAUCAACAGCAAAAUCCAUGGCAAACUUUCACAUAUAGAAAAAGUUCACUAUACAAACACAAUCUGUUAACUAAGCAGAGUCAACUCUUACCACAAACCCUAUAAUCAAUCAAAAAACACAAAGAUCUCUAAUCUACCAUUCUAAUGAGUCUAUAUACAAGGAACUGUUCAGUGAUGAAAAUCGAAGAAAUACUUAUCUGUUAAGUGAUGAAAAUCGGCCGAAUAGACACAGUAUAUGUGAAACCCUAACUCUUCAAUACUAUUCGGUACGGGGAAAACGCUUUGGCAGAGCAAUAAAUAGAGAGAAGAAACAUGGUUUUGGAUGAAUGAAAAAACAAAGAAAUUCAGAAGGAAAGGGAAAUGAGAUAAGGAAAUUUAAGAAAUUGAA